CGGUUACUGCUGGGCACUUCAUUGAUAACCACAUCGAAUUCGGUUUGCUCUUCCACAACCGCCGCCGCACCACCGUCUCCCGGAGCAGCCACAGCCGCCGCAGCAGGAGCUAGAGAGAGUGGUGAGACACCGAAUUUAUCCUGGAGGUAAUCGACGAGGAUGCGUGCUUCUUCUAGGGUCAGAGACGAGAUCUCGGAACCAAUCUUCUCGAUUUUCUCUGGAGCUUCGACGGCGGCGACGGGACGGAGGUUGAUUGCGCGGUGGCUGAGCGUGGAAGAAGAAGCGCCAAAGCGAGCCGGGAAUUCGACUCCGGUGGGUCGGGAAGGAAAGCGAUGGACGGAAGCGAGAGUGGGAGAAGAUGAUGAACGGAUUGAGCUUGCGAUGGAAAGAGUCGUCGCUGCCAUUUUCGCUCUUCCUCUUGGGAUUUGUUUUGUGUGUCUCUCUGAGUGUGUUUGUUGGGAUAGAUGGAGAAGAUGAGAGGAUAAAAAAACCAAGGAUAAGGGGUAAUUUGGAAAAUAUAAUAUAUGCGUACGCUUGCUGUAUUAUGCGCGUGUAUACACACCAUGGGACUUAAAAGCAAAAAGGGGCGUUCCGAGAAUCGAACUCGGGACCUCUCGCACCCAAAGCGAGAAUCAUACAACUAGACCAAACGCCCUCGUUGAUAUAUUGAGCCAUUUUUCUACUAAGUCCUCAAAAAUAUUCAGAGUUUGUAGUGGAACUGUGGAACAUUCUCCAUUUCAAAAGAAGCAUAUACAUAAUUGUAUUCAGAUUUUAUACUAGUGUACUCGCAUUGAUAGCCUACUAAUACCAAUGUUGAUGGACACCUAAUCUUUUUCAGCUUUCUACAAUAUUUGUUGCUUUUGUUUUCGCAUCUGUAGUCUAAUAGAACGUUGUAAAAUCUUAGAGGAAUGCCUUCUCUGCUUCAAAGCAGAACAACUCUUUCUUCAUUCUGCUUUAUAUGAUUGGUGAAGACAGCUACUUUGGAAGCCAUGCAUGUCUCAUAUAGUCAAAAGAGUCAUACUAUGUUCAUGUCUCCUAAAUCCGUGUAUGAGUAUGUGACUUCUCCCAUUUCCUAUUUGAAGCUAGGCAUUUCUACAAACAUGUUAUCUACUUAUCUGCAGUUACUAAAGAAGCACCCUACAAUGGCUAAAUCCCUUUUCGGAAUCCAAAUUGAUUCACAUUACAAUAAUUUCUCAAACCUGAAUCAACAAUCCCAGACGCAAACUAUGCUAAACAACACCAAACAAACAAAAAACGUUCCAUAAAAUUCCACAAAAGAAGAACACUUUUACAUUUCCGAAUUUCAAGAAGUUUAAGCAAUGGAAACCUUAGCACCAGCUUCUUCAAGCUGCUUCUUCGCUUCUUCAGCUUCAUCCUUCGUCACACCCUCCUUGAACUUCUUCGGCAACCCUUCAAUGAGCUCCUUGGCUUCCUUCAACGCCAAGCUAGUCAAAGCCCUUACCGCUUUGAUCACUGCAAUACGGUUACUGCUUGGCACUUCGUUGAUAACCACAUCGAAUUCGGUUUGCUCUUCCACCACCGCCGCCGCACCACCGUCGCCCGGAGCAGCCACAGCCGCCGCAGCAGGAGCUAGAGAGAGCGGCGAGACGCCGAAUUUAUCCUGAAGGUAGUCGACGAGGAUGCGGGCUUCUUCGAGGGUCAGAGACGAGAUCUCGGACCCAAUCUUCUCAAUUUUCUCCGGAGCUUCCACGGCGGCAAUGGGACGGAGGUGAGUUGCACGGUGGGUCAGUGUGGAAGAAGAAGCACCAAGGCGAAAGGGAAAUUCGAUUGCGGAGGGUCGGGAAAGGAAGCCAUGGGGAGCGGAAGCGGGAGUGAGAGAAGACGAAGAGCGGAUUGUGGUUGCUAUGGAAAGAGUCGUCGCUGCCAUUUUCACUCUUUGAACUCUUCGGAUUUGUUGUGUGUCUCUCUGUCUGUGUUGCUAAAUUGUGCGAGAGACGAAGAAGAUGAGGAUAAAAAAAACCAAGGAUAAGGGGUAAUUUGGGAAACUCAAAAAUACUAACCAUUGCUAUUGUGCACCUAUACACAUCAAGGAAGUUGUACCGUUCAUAGGUUGACGAAAAUACCCUUGAGAAAGGUAAAUAAAUUAAAAUGGGCCAUUCGGAAAAUCGAACUCAUCACCUAUAUCAUAAAUAAUGACAACGAAGGGUCACAAAGACUUUUGAAUAUAGAGUUCACAGUGAAACAAUUUCCCUUUUUCUUUUUUUGUCAACAACUUUGUAGUGGAAACAUUCUUUUAAUUCAAAAGAAGCAUAUAAUAAUCGUAUAUGUAAAUCACAUCGUGUUGUUUCGAUUUCUCCCUUCUAUAUUUUUCCCACCAAUGCUACAAACAAGAGCAAAUCCCAUUUCCUAUGAAUCCAAAAACCUCCCACGUGUUUAAAAGGCCUGCAAAGAGGUUUUUCACCAUCUACGGCGUCUCCUCCCAUACCAAAACGCAAACGCAGCCACAGAUGCAGCAACAACGACUCCAGUCGCCGCGUGCCAUAUAUGCAAAGGCUUCUCCACCAUCACCACUCUUGAACACUGCCUCGCCAUCUCUGAGCUCGGAACUUCCUUAACUUCCGGAACUAUAUGCUGACUCACCACGGUCUGAGCAAACCCAAGUCCUUCUCUUCCCAGUUCUUCCAAGUCAGUCACAGCUGGUUUCAACUGUGUCGCCUUUGAGAUAGUUUCGUAUUCUUCUUUAGUCCCUCCUUCAAGAAAAGACCCAACGAGGUGACCUUUUUUAACCCAAUAUGCUCCAAAGGCUUUACCGACUUCAUACUCCCCAAAGUGCACAACUUCACCUACAGGGUCUCCGUAGAACUGCCACGAGAAGGCAAAGACCCUUGAGUAGAAAAACGGCAAGAGGUCAAAAUCUCCGGUCUUUUCUGGCUCCAUGAUGGCUGAAACUGCGUGGCGUGCAGAUUUCCUAGCCGAGUCCACAUGCUCAAGCCUCCUCGUUUCGCCAAAUAGUUUCACUGGAAAUGUAGCUACAUCGCCUAUUGCAUACACCGAGCUGUCACUUGACUGCAUUUUGCUGUUCACUUUUAUACCACCUUUCUCUAUUGUUAGCUGUCCUUCAAACAAGCUUGUGUUUGGUCGUAUUCCAAUUCCAACCACGACCAAAUCUGCUGGUAACUGGUUCCCAUCUUUGAGAUUAACCGCCGUGACCUGCAAUUCGAAAUCCCAAAAAGAGCAUAUCAAUAAACAAACACAGCGAACAAUGCUCAUGAUUCUUUCCAUCAUGGGAUCAGGAGACUCCGUCGUUGUAUUGAUUCUUUCCAUCUUUUAGUUCUAUACAUAGAUGCAAAAAACCAGACAUCUUUCAAGUUGAAUCUCAAGCUUAAAAAAAAAAAUAUAUCUAACCUUUUUAUUCGAGUCAAACUCAAAUGAUGUCAAAACCGUUCCUUUGAUGAAUUUCACUCCUUUAGCCCUGUAGUAAUCUUCAUACAAAGUUGCAAUCUUGGGCGUAAAGAGACGCGCCACUGUCAUAAGAAACUGAAAAAGGUCAAGCCAACCACACAGACACAAGCUUUCUCUUUUUUACAUGUAAGUUGAGUAAUAAUGGAGAGUACUUACUGCAGUGAGCCUCUGGAAAAACCAUGGUCACAUUGAUCUUGUUGAUCACUAAAGAUGCAGCACACUCCAUGCCGAUAUAGCCACCACCGAUAACAACAGCAUUACCAUUGGAGCUUGAUUGGAUCGCAGUGGAAAGCCUAUUUGCGUCGCUCAGAUCUCGUAAGUAACAAACAUUUUCAGCAUCUGAGCCUUCCACCCCAAAUUCUUCGAGCUUCAACGGCUGCUUCCACAUGUGACAAUAAUAAGGCCACGACUUUAGCAGUUCAAAGCUCUAAGCUUUAAAAUAGUACAAAUUCCUUUAAAAUUGUCCAGGAUAGAGCAUAUUUGCCAUAUCAGUGUUCACAGCAUCUAAUAGACGUUCCAGUAUUACAGAUCCAUUGACUUCAGUCCAUUUAAGACUCUAGUGAUAAUAAGUAAUAACAGAUUGUAACAUCUCAAAGACGAUAAUAUGAUGGUGAGAACCAGUAAUUUAUCAUAUACGUUAAUGGCACCUUCUCACCUGCAGACGCUCUUACUUCGGAAAAACGAAAUCAUAUAUAUUAUUGUGCAAUCCAUACCCUGGCACCUGUUGCGAUGAUCAAGAAUUUGUAACUUAUAGUCUCCCCGGUGCUCGAUAAAAGAGUCUUCCUCCUCACAUCAACGGACUUAACACGAGUUCCAAGCACUAAUUCAAUUCCUGACAAGCAAGUCACAAAAUUGUCAGAGCUUACUCUCAUAGUCAUAGCCCAAGUAAAGUAGUACUUUCUCAAAAUUGGAUGUGCACAUGUAGUUACCAUGUUCCUUGUACCAUUUCGGGGUGAGCUUCUCAUCAUUAGCCCCAACACAAGUGUGGAAAGAAGGAAGGCGUGCAGGAGCUGCAGAUAAGAUCGUGGGUUAACCCUUACAGAGCCUAAUGAGUGAACUAUAACUGAAUCCCUUAGUUCUUGAGAACAUUCUAUACAUCUUAGCUUCCCCAAAUACCAAAAGCAGAAAAACGCAAGCUAUCACGUUUCUCUUACCUUCUGGCAGCAGAAAACCUUUACUUAACGCGGGCCUCUCAUAUGGUGCAACCUAGAGAAACAGAAAAUGCAGAAGCUAAUUACUUACAGAGGGAAACACAUCAUAUCCCUUUUCCUCCCUCUUUAAUAUUGAUUCACAACCAAUACUUUAUAAAACAAGCAGUGAAUGGAAAAACAUGAAUCACAAAUCAGAAGCAUUUCUUCCAUAGAGAUUCGAGGACUGUUUGCCUGUUUGGAACUAAUCGGUAAAACCAUAUCCAGAGCAUAUGUCACCAUAUUUGGAGGCUAGACGCUAACAAUGCAUUGAUGUGCUAUUAGACAUGGCGAUACUCGAUAUUCUUAGUCCAUGUAUUGAAUCUUGCAAGCUACUCUUUAAUUACUUUAACUUCACCAAAUGCCUCAAUAUAAUACAAAUUUCCACCGUAUCUUCAGUUUCAGUGAGAGAAUUCCAAGCAUGAGUUGCAAUUAAGACUCGAUGUAGAGAACUGAGAAUUUCAAGAACCUUGUGCAAAACCCAAAUCUUUAUGGAAAUCCACACGGAGUUCGUAUAGUAGCAUUACACCCUAUUAGUAUAAAGUAAGAGAAAAACUCUAGCGAUAAGAGACAAAAGAGAUAGAGACAAGCCUAACCAAUUUCAAUCUAAUAACACCAUCAAACCACCAAAUUUUAAAACGAGGUCAAAAAGAAGAAACUUUCAAUUAACACUAAGAAUUCCAAAACCUACCGAUAGUAAAACCAACUACAGAGUCACACUAAAAAUCCAGGUGAGAGAGCUAAUAUAUACUUCCUCAGAUGAAUCAGUAAAGGACCCACCAAGAACAACAAGAAAGAAAAAGCAAAUCAUAGAUAAAUUUCUUCUCGCUAUCAAACAAUAAAACUCAAUUUUUUUACGGGAGCUUACGGGUUCUUCGGAAAUGAUGCAGAGUUCGCCAUCGGAGACACCUCUCCGCGUGAAUUCGAGAGCUGCAUAACCAGCAGCAACACCUCCUCCGAGAAUCACAUACACGAACGCUCUUCCCAUCUCGCUUAGUUUCUCGUGAAAAUCCUAAACAUCUACGUAUAUGUAUUCUAGUGAAUGGAUUUUGUUUUUUAAAAAUAAUUUUCCCGAUAAAAUAAUUUUUUGAGGCACACAGAAUAGGAAUUUUUUUUUCUGUUAUCGGAUCUUUCCCACCAGUGAAUGAAACUCGACGAUUGCAGUGUUCAUUUACAAUUGUACCCCUCUUUGACUUCUUUACUAACGAACGGUGGAUGUUAAUGUUAAACAAGCGAUUACACAAGAUCUCGACCGUCCAUUUCUGGAGAAAGUUGUCACAGUGGGACCCAGUUUAGCUCUUUGCUUGCACGACUUGCUUGGCCCAUCAUCAUUGGUAAAAUGAUAAUAAUAUAACAAAUAUCAGAUCGUCAGAAUGAAAUCUGAUAAUAUGUUGAACAGAUUAAUACAAGUAAUAUAUAGAUGCAUGCAUCAAAGUUAUCCACAUCCACCUCCAAAUCCCAACUAUGCACAUAGUUUUUAUUCUCUUAUAAAUCACAAAAUCACAAACUGUAGACUUGGAGAUGUAAACAAAACAAAAAAAAAAAACAAAAACAUGUGACGAAUGAUAGUUAGCCGCGUGGCAAGACCAUGAGGUAGUUGGUAUUGGGAAGUGUGGUCGAGAUGAGGAUAUGAUGCCCCGAGAAUUCAAUCCAAAGCGUUAAAAGCGAAUUUUUUAUAUAUGUCGCAAGACAAAACCAAACUUUUAUCUUAGACUUGUUGGUUGGAGUUUUUUUUUUUUUUUUUUUGUGUUAUUGUUGGUUGGAGUUUUUCCAUUUCUCUGCCAAGUGGCUCUAUACAGGUAACUAACUAUUCUCUAUUUUAUCGAACUCUCUCCGUUUUCGCUAGAAAAAAAAAUUCUUAUUUUUUUUUGUUUCAUAAACAUAAUAGUUUUUACUUUUAUAGACUUUCUUAUUAACAACAAGGCAUUUAUGUAUUUAUUUCUUAGAACACGUUAAUGUAAGUUUUAAGCUUUUUAUGGUGAUGAGAUUGUGUUGACUAUUGAGUGCUAAGUAUGUUACAAAGACGAAGAAACUAAAAAUCCUCUGGUUCAGAACAUAAAAAUAAAUGCUCAAUCGGGCUUACCCUUUGGGUUCUUCUGCCAAUAUAUAUAUGGGCCUUCUCUCACAUGCAGGCCGUAAAUGUAAAAGACACAGCACAGUGUAAACAACCAACAAAAUAUAUAGUUUGUUUCGGUUGUGAUAAAACAAACAUAAACGCCUUAAGUGAUAAAACAAUCCAAAUUUCCACAGAUUUCAAAAAUUAUUUUAGGUGUUGGAGGGUUUGCCAAAUUAAAAAAAAAAAAAAACAUCAUUGGUAAUUUGGUAUAUAUAUAGAGAAGGGCCGAACAUCUCCUAGAUAAAAGUCUUGAGACAACUGACAGUCGUAUGAACCAAUUUAAUUGUCUUUUCUAUGUAAAUGAUUUAAUCAUUAAUUACAGCUUAUUUAACUAACAGCCCGGUAAUAAUCAAAAUCUUGUUACGCAGAUGAGCAGCCGACUUCAACAUUAACUGAGGAUAAAGAAAGUUAAAAUAUGUCAAACUCAUCAACACGGGAAGAAAAUGGUUUAUGCUAUAUAUAGAAAGUACAGCUAAGGCAUAAGGCUAGAACAAUGCACAAGCAAAUAAAUGAACGAAACAAAAGAGAGGAUAAAAAACCCAAUUCCUCCACGUUUAUUUAUGUGUAAAUUAUCAACCACUUGUAUAUAUGUUUGUGACCGACCUGCCAUGUGAUUUUUCCUUUAUAAUUCACAUGGGAAGUCGACAAUUCCCACAUGAUAAACACGUUGGCGUAAUAAAAUAAAUAAACAUGCGGCCCAAUUCCAUAUUAAUUCUGGUUAUAAAAUAUAAUAUAAGCAUGUAAUCUGGAUAUAAUUAAGAUACUAUAGAUUAGUCUGAGAUGUAUAUUUUAAUAUAUUUUGUUUGAUAAAUAUUGAAAACUCCAGAAUCUGGUUCAUAAGUUUUUUUUUUGUCCGGAUCAACCAUUGAUAAUACCACAUUUAAGACGUACAUAUAUAACUAGUGAUUUUGGAAACUCCCAGGUCCCAAGUACUACUAGACCACUUCUCACUUGGUUUUAUAUUGAAAUCUAAAAAUAAGAACGAGAAGAAAAAAAACUCAUUUCAAAAUACUUGUUAAAAAAUUCUUACAUCAAAAAGUAAGACACAAAAUAUAUAAUAGCUAUUGAGGCUGAAAGCAGUUGAGGUUAUAUGCAUAAAUUCGUCUAUUGUGUACUUUAUUAUAUGACAUUUAAUAAAUAUGAUAUUUGAUCUAAAAACCAAUUUAUGUUUUUAGACAUAAAUAUCUAAUUAGAUCAUGCAUAUUUCAAAAAUUCAAUCUUUAAAUAUUCCCGGAGCAAGUGAUCGCUUAAACAUGUAUGUCUCUCAUUUAUGUUUAUUCUAGUUACAAACUACAAACAUAAAUUAUAAACUUUUCUCAAAAAAUAAACAUAAAUGAAAAAUGUUUUGUUAUAGAAAAAUAGUUUAGAAUUCGAAUGACGACGUAAAGACCAGACGGUCCAGACCGGAAAAGAUAAUGCAUGCAUUGGACCAUUGGUUCGUUCCUUGCUACAAUGCACUAUUGUUUGUUCCGUUUCCUUUUUUACACCGCCGCAAUAUAGAUCUCAAGGAGUAUAAAACAUGAAAAUAGUUUUUUCAUUUUUAUAUAUUAAAAAUCUACCCUAAAAAAUGAAGACGCUACAAGACUACAAGUUAUAAGUGUAUUCGCGCUCUUUUUAAAAUUAUAUAUAUAUAUAUAUAUAUAUAUCAAAUUCAAAUUCAAAAUAUAUCAAUUAUAUAUAUAUAUAUAUAUACAUUGCCCGUCAAAAAUGAAAUAUCAAUUAUUCCUAUUCUAGCCAAUGCAUAGAGAAGAGGAAGUGGAGUUUGGAUUUAUCCUCUACACAUGCUUCGUUUGGACAAAAUGUGUCGCUGGCAUAGGACUUAAAGCUAAGAAGUUCGGUAAAGCUUAAAUGCUUUUGCCGUCUUGCUAUAGUGCUUACACUCCCCCACCUAACAUCAUGUCUAACAACCAAUUACUCAUUUUAUGUUGAUAAUAAACCUAUAAAUAUAAAACACAUAUAAUUCCAUGAAUAAUAUAUCUCAGAUAGUCGACUCAUAUUGGCUUUUAUAUAUAUAUAAUUGCGGCUCAGUUACUGAUUACGUUCCUAGCUCAUCGUAUCUUAUUUUUUGUCCCAUGUUGGUAUAUAUCUAUUUUAGGUGUAAAUAUUUAUUGUUUUGAAUCAGGAUGAACAAUAAAAAGAAGAAUAAAUUGUUCCUUUUUCCUUUUUUUCUUAAAAAACAAAUCGAUAUCUUCGCCUUAAAGGUUGUGGUUUUGGCUAGUGGAGUUAGGCUCACGUUGGGUUCUACAUGUUGAAUGGCGAUGCACAAAAAUGGAUAAAAAUUGCUGAAUAAAGGCAAGGACAACUGUACCGAAAGCUAUCUAUUUUUAGCCCUCAUCUGACACGUGUUUUAUUAUAAUUGGUGAGAUUAGGUUCUGUAUGUUUAUGUCAUGUGAUAUGUAUAUAAAUCGAUCCACAUGUAUAUGUAUACACACGCAACUCAUGUGUUCGUGAGUGCAUAUAUAUGGACGAAGAAUCAGUUCGUCUCGAUUACCAUACGCUUAAAAUAAUUAUUCUGCUCUGUUUAAAUUUUUAUUUUCUUACGUCUUCCGAUGUUUUAACAUUACAGGAAGAAAAGUUGUUUAUAAACUGUACGUAUAUAUGUUAACUUAGAUUCAAAUGUGCUUAAAUCAAUUCGUCAAUGAGUAGUUGUAUGUUCUAUAACGUUAAGUAUGCGGGUAAAAGGUUUUGUUUAACAGAACUACCACACUAUUAUAGUACUGUAUAUGUUUGGGAUGGUAAUUAGGGGGAAAAAUCCCUUUCAAAAAGGUACAUUUAUACCAUGAUUGACGCAAUCAUUUGCAAAUCCAGUGGAUCACAUAACUCUUAGAAUACGCAUAUACAACCAUUAUAUAUGUCAACGGGAUCAAUUACUUUCUCAGUUCAUGAAUAUUGAUCAUGUUAAUUAUUAUUUUUAUUUUUGGUAGGAAAUGUGAUAUGUUUUGUUAGCUUUUAGACAAUUGCAACAGAAUUUCCAAACUCCCCCUAUAUAAUUUUUAAUUGCUUUUUGGAAAGAUUAUUCUAAAGCACAAUAAAAAAAUAAUAACAAAUGGAUUUUAAGGAUAGUUAGACGUUUUCAAUGUUGGUUAAUGUGUAAAAGCUACAAUAAUGUAUUAAUGUAUAUCGGUAUGGAACAGAGGGAAAUUAUAAACAAACGUUAUAUAAAAAAUAAAUUAAUCAUGUGUAAAAAUUAAGUAGCUAGGUUCUCAUAUAUACAAUCUUAAGAUAAAUUAUUUUAUUCCUACGAAUAAAAAAUCAGAAGAAUAAGUCACCCAUUUCAGUUUUAUUUAUGUAUAACAUCAAACGGGGUGCAAUAAAGUUCAAAACAUAUACCAUCCAAGGAUUUAGAUAAUUACCACCAUAUAUAAAAUUUAUCCCAAAACCUCUAAACAACGAGGCAAAAACCAUAUACAUGUCACGUACGAGUCAUAUUACUCCUAAAAAUCACAAAUCUCAAAAUAAUAUAUAUUUCAUAUAUUGUUUUCCGAUAUGGAUCGAGACUAUAAUUGAUAAAUCAAUUACCAUUGAGUAGAUGCAUCGAUGACCAAAUAUCAUCCAUGCCCCAAUAGUUUUCACCGGUUUGAUCAUCAACGGUCAUCGGUACCGAAUAAUCCGCUGUUGCAGUUGCCCCUGCCGUGGAAUAAUUUCCCGCUGAAUAGUUACCGUAGUUGAAUUCCAUAUUGGUAUGUUGAUACGACGUUGUUGUAGGAGAAUAAGUCUCCAUCGCUUGAUCUUGUGUACAAAAGACAUUAUGGCUCGUUGUGCUUGCAGCUUGAUCGUUGAUUUCUGAGCUCUGAUGAGAUCCAACGGAUGACGUCGUUGUUGUUGUUACAUCGGUUUGUUUGAUGUAUUUUUGGAUUCUUGUCCUCCAAAAGUUUUUGAUCUCGUUGUCGGUUCUUCCUGGAAGGUGUUUAGCAAUUUUUGACCACCUGUUCAUAUAAUUUAGAGUCAAUUAAUUAAUGACAUAACUAUAUAGAUUAUUAAUAUAAGAUUUGAUGAGCUAAUGAUUGUGUGGGGUUAGAAAUCUAAUCCGUGACUGCAUCGGACCAAGUACGUUAAGAUGAAUCCAAAACAUUAAGGUUUGCGUCUAUUUCAAUUAUGCUUUUCCUUUUUGUCACUAGACUUUUUACUUUUGUACUAUAUAUUAUUGCAUGUACUAUGUUUGGAUCUUUGUAAAAAAAAACAGUUCUUAAUAAUUUUGUUGUGCUAAUAAGCCUUACAAAGUUUAUUGCUUAUUCUUUAGUUAAAAGCGUUACUUUUUUGUUUGUUUAUUAAAAGGAUUUGUAAAGCGGAAUUUUAUGAUUUAGUAAAUGCUUCCUAUCAAAAAAUUUUUUUUUUAAGAUAUCAGAAAGGUGAAACUAGUUUAAAACCAGGAAAAAGGUUAUAAAGAAAAAAAAGUAAAACUCUAAUUCAAGAAUUAUGAAGAUUUAAAGUGUAAAUAUCAUUUGGCUGCUAAAGUCCUUUUUUGAAAGAUUUUGACAGGUAUGAUAAGGUCUUGACGGCUUGACCUAGACCUAAUAACCUAUUACACUUUUCCGUAAUUAGUAUACACAAAAGGAGUUAACUGUAGAUAAAAUGAUAACUUAAUCGCACUUACUUGAAAAAUGCGAUACUUUUUAUUGAAUUACAGAAUCAUGUACCUUGUAAUCUUGGGCCAUAUUUUCCAGCUCUUUGCAUAUAAAACAAAUAAAAAUUGAAAUUCGGAUAAAACAAAACAGACAAGGAAAUAAAUAAAGGCGCGUACAUAUUUCAGAAACGUGGGAAAUCACUUGAUAAUUUCGAGAGACUUAUAUUCCUUUAUAAAUCAUUAAGAAAAAUAUCUGGAAAAAUGUAGCCACGAGUUUCGAUUAAAAUAGGCACGAGGUUUUCAUGUUGUUCUUUAUAAAAAGCACGAGGUUUAAUGUUAGUGGCUAGAAAAUUUCGACACGUGCAAAUACCUCAGAACUAACGGCUAAGAACAAACUUCGAUCAAAGGGUGUCACAAUGGAAUUAAACGCUUUUUUGAUUUAGUCACCAAAUGUGUUGCUUUAUUGUCUUUUCAAAGAUCUACGUGGCAUAUAGCCUCAAGAGUAUAUAAAGGAUUCAAUAUUCGAAGAUUUUGCCUUUGUUCUUUAAUUCUUUCGUUACACAUAGUGUAUGUGUAUCUAUGUCCGUGUCUACAUUCAUUUAUGUAAAUUGAAACUAACCUAUUUCCCCACUUAGCAUGAAGUUCCAUGAUGAUAAGUUGCUCCUCCGGCGUGAUGUUUCCCCGUCGUACGUCCGGGCGGAGAUAGUUCAGCCACCGGAGCCGGCAACUUUUUCCGGUUCGUUUUAGACCUAUACAUUCAUAUAAUCAAUCAUCACAAUCAAUAAUUAACUCGUACGUAUGUGGAUAUCCCCAUAAUUGUAAUUAGCACAUAUGUGUAUAUAUAUUAUAAUCAUGCAUGCUUAUCAAAACAAAGUUAUAGAUUUUUUAUCAUCUUACAUACUUUUGUUUUAUCAUUCCAUUGUAAGAUUAACGUCUUUGAUUUUUUUUUUUUUGGAUUUAGAAAUAUUCUUUAUCAACAAACGAAUAAAAGAAAUCAUUACUCGUUUCUUAUCUAUAUAAAAUGAAAUAAUAGAUAAUAAAAAUAUAAUAUCGAUUAAUAUGUGUAUAUAUAUAUAUAUAUUUAUGGAAGAGACGACAGAAAGAAAAAUAUAUGAGGAUACCUUUGCAUGUUAAGACAAAACCCUAGUUCAUUAUAUUAACAUAUAUACAACGUAAGAGAUAUAUAUAUAUAUAUAUGUGUGUGUAUACAUGUUAUUGUGCUUAAAUAUAAGUGAAAUCUUGAUUUUAAAAAAGAUUAAAUGAACCUGCAGAUUUCGCGAGAGAGUUCCAAACGCCAUCUCCGUGGUUUGCAAUAUAGUUGAUGAGAAUAAGAUCUUCUUCCAUCGUCCAUGGUCCUUUUCUCACCUCCGCUUCACUUGAUGAUCCCGAACCUCCACUACUUAUUCCUCCUCGUUUCUCCAUUUUAUUCUUAUUUAUUUAACUAUCAGCACGAUCUAGUUUUAUAUAAUUUAUAUCUAGAGAGAGGAAUAUGAAAGAUGAGAGUGUAAGAGAGAAGGUUGAGGUGAGUUGAUAUUGAAGGUUGUGGAAGGUGAGCUACUGCUUUUAUAGAGACUAAAUUCACCGCGUGAUUAGCAACCCUUAAUCCAAAUUCUUAAUUAAUUAUGUAUUACAUUAGCUUAAUUUUUUCAAUUAAUCACAAUUUUUUUUCUUUCAUUUUUUGGAUUCAUUUUAUAUUAAUAAGUACAUGGGACUAUAUAUAAUACAUUAAAUUACCUAACCAUAUACAAUAACAUAUAUAGUUUCAUAUCAUCCAUAUGUCCAUAUGUAUAUAUAUAGGCUAAAGAGUGAAGAAAUUGAAGUCUUUGAUGCAUUCAUGCAUGGAUGAUGUAAAUAUAUAUACAUGCAUGCAUUGCUAAUUUAGUUUCACAUACAUAAGCAUGCUUCUUUAUGUGUAGAAAGUAUACCAACUCAUAUUGUUUUCCAUUUAACCGUGUAUAAAGUUAUUCAUUUAGGAGUGUAACGUGUUUAUGUGUUGUAUGUGUAUGUAUAAAACGCUAGUAUUAGGUUCCAUUGUAAUUAAAACCAAAGACACAUCAAUGUGUUAAGAGUACUUAAGAACAAAGCCAAUCAACAAACGAUGACGAAAAUUCAGUAGUAUCAUCUUUUUGGUUUAGAGUAGCAGCCGAUUUCUACAAUACACAAUUUUUCUGAUACUACGAAACAAGUACUUACCGGCAGCACAUUUUACUUUGGAUUGAGAUAUAUGUGAUCACCUAAUAAUAUAACAAACUUACAGUACCAAAAUAAUAUAAAUUAUUCUAAAAAUACUUGUUUGUCUUAGCGAUAUUAAAACACUAGAUUUGAAUACUCCUUUUUAAUUUAAGAAUUGUAUUCUACUAUUCUCUCAGUAGAUAUGAGUUUUUAGUCAUUUUGAUUUAAAUUUCUGUUAGUAGUGGAACAUUUUAAUAUGAUUGUUAUUUUGGAAACCAAAACUUAUUUGAAAUUUUGUGAAAGGUAUAGUUUAAAAUUUUGUGAAAUUUAUCGUUUAUUUUUAAACGGCUGUCUGUAAGUUGAAAAAAAGAGAAGAUUUUAUUUAUAAUUUUUUUUUAAAGAAAACAGUAAGCGCAUAGAACAAAUAUCAUCGCUUUAUUUGUCAAAAUGAUAAUCUUGAUAUAUGCUCAGUUUUCUAAUUUUAUAUGUACAUUAGUAUGAUUUGGUCUAUAGGUAUAAAACGAAUUAUUUACCAACCAAACGCUUAAUUUUGAAUCGGUUUCGCAGUUUUGGUUUGCAUCAGUUUACUUCCCGGCUUAAAGGAUCCGAAGACUUCACGAAUAGACUUGUAUGCCGUUCCAUUCUAGACUUUUAUGUCAGUCUAUUCCUCCCCGUAGCGUAGCGAGUACGCACAACCCUUGAUGUUCUAUAUUAUCGUCACAGGACUCCUUGUCGUUUUUCUAAGUCAACAUCAAUAUUGUCCGUACCUUCAAAUCCCCCUUGACCAAAUAUUAUUUGGUGGUAAUCGUGGUAUAUCUCGGUAAAUUAAUUGGCAGAACAAAUUCACUAUGUACUUCCACAACUCUAUAUGCUUUUGUAGAGGUACUCUCAUAAGGAAUUAGAUAAAGUAAAUUAGUAGAUCACAUUUAAUUGAUCAUGACGCUAAUUAACCUUUUUGUUUUGUUUUGAUAAUAACGCUACUUUACUUAAUCAGCUAGAUGUAACUGAUCCCAUACCCUAUUAGUAAACAAACUAUGAUCAGGACAAAGAAAGUACAAAGAUGGAGACACAAGAAGAUCUGGACCCUCUAAAAGUUAACUCACUCAUAUCCCUAACCAAAUUAAUUAAAAUCCACUUAUCUUAAAAGUGACAAGUGACUAACUCCUAACUUAAUAAAAACCUUUAACAUCCAAAUUAAUCAAUUGAAAUACCCUUCACACUUCAGUUAGCCAAUACUUGCUUUUGUUGCCACAUCCAUGCUCUUUUUUGCGCGAUAACAUGCUUUUAUCUACUUUUUUAAUAUAAAAAAAGUUGUGAUUAGAUGGACUUUGACGUAGCCUGUAUAGAUCUGCCAACGUUAUUGUUUUAGACUUCGAUUUCAAUUGCACUUUCUUUAUUUGUUUCAGCUGCUUAUGUUGUGGGUUUAUUUGAAAAAAUAAAGUACACAAAACGUAAACACAAACAAUGAUGUGUUUUUUUUUCUUUUUUUUUUCUUGUAACAAUACAAACAACGAUGUUUGGAAGUAUAAUUGAUAUGCUUUCGUGUGGUUUUAUUUUAUUUUUACGUUUACUUAAAUGAAAGUUUUAAUAUGUAUACAGUAUGUGAAAUUCUGUUUACAACAUGAAUGACCCGCUUGCGCUUUGAUACCCAACUCCAAAUCGGUACAUAUUUAACAAUUAACAUUUGAGAAGGUAAAUGAUUUAUUGAGCUAAUUCACAAUAUUUUUAAACGAAAAACUAAUAAAUAAAUCCUUUAGAUUUACAAGAGUGAUCGAAACCUCCUCGUUAAAGCAUAGUUAAAGAAUUUCUAUAUUUGAAAGGGCACUUGAUUUGGCGUAUCAUCCCAAAGUUUAAGUACUCUUAAGCCAUUUUUAAGAAAACCCUUUUUGUGUGGCUGCAAUUUAAUUAGGUGGAAACGACUCUUUACUUAAUUACUUCCCUCCUAAGCGCGUCGUAUGCACUUCUCUACUGUCAAGUGUCAACUAUUCACGACAAAUCAGUUUUUUCGUUUCUAUUGAAAAAGUCUAUGUUAAUUGUCUUUGAAUAACAAUAAAAUAAAAAUGUCCUUGCAGUUUUAAAUUUAACUAUACAUUGGUAUUAUCACUUGUGAUUAUUUUAGUACUAGACAAGUAAACAACUAUAAAAUUAAAAUAUCUAUAAUUAUGUAUAAACAAAUGAUUAAAGUCUAGAUAUUCUAUAAAAAUGAAUAGUGAAAACGAAUUAGAAUUCUCCAAACAAAGAAAAUAAAUUACAGAUAUGGACCAGAUAAAUCAAAUAGAAAUUUAUAUACUUUUUUUGAGUCUCAUAUUUAUAUAGGUAAGAGAUUAUAGGAAGAGAUUUUUAUUCUAAAACAUCUUCUUUUUAUAUAAGAUUAAUGACUGGUUUAGUAGCCACCGGCGGUGUAACUACGGAUUUCAAAUCCUGAUUGUAAAUUAGCGCAUCAUCCUUCCAACAUUGAUUAAUUUUGGGGUUCAAAGACAUAUAAAUAUUUUGGUGGCUAAGUGAAUUAAAUGUUUUAAAAAACAUAUUUUUAGUCCACAGUGAAUUACAUUCGUUGUAUAAUUGUAUUACGACUUUUUAUUGCAAUGAUUUUUCAGUUAUUAACUUUUUACAGUGCUGAAUGUCGAUAAUGUAAUCGUUGUUUUUUUUUUUUUUACAGAAAGAAUAAGUGUUUAUCGUACACGCAAGGAAGCGCGUGAAGAAGAGGAAUCUUAAAACAAGCAGAAACUGAAAACGUGGACUCAUCUAACCUUCACAAUAACCAAAUGUUUAAAAAGGGCAAAAGCGUAUUGCUUUAUGUUAUGGAAGAUUUAAUGGAAAGCCACAUAAGUAAGGAAAAAACAAAGCUUAUGGGGUUUAAUGGCAGUGUCAAGUGGCUUAAGCUUCAUUUAUAUGAGUGGCUAUAACAGUGACAAGCAUAAAAUCACCAAUUAGAUGUGCGUGGGGACCUUAAGAGAUGAAGGAACACACGCAUGUGGAUAUUUGAUCCCAACAACUAAUUUUCAUUAACAAAAGAAAUACAACAACUAAUUAAGUGUUUUUUUCUUCUCUGAAUCCAUCCUACAAGUUCUUUUUCUUUAUUUACGAGUGAAUUAGAUUAUAAAUAUUUAGGUAAAUGAUAAUUGCUAGAGUUGUUAUUAGAAAAUAGUAAAAAAAAAUGUUGAAAUUUAUUCUAUGUAGUAUGUACUGUAGAUUACAAUAUUAUAAAUUUGGUAGCAUAUACUAUCACGAAAAUUUUGUGAUAAAGUAGCGGGUUUACGGAUAAGGCAGGCCAAGAAUCCAAUAAGAUGUUGCAUGUAAAUCAAGUACAACCACAAGUUCCAACUUGGCCGAUUGUUUUUAUUUUAUUGCAUUGGACCCAUCUUAAUUAAAUCUUAAAUUCGGAUCCAACGGGUUGACACACGAAUAUUAAACUGUUCUGGUUUCACAGCUAUAACUUGUUCGAUGUGUGUAAGAGAGAGAUGCGGACGCAAAGGUAAUUUCCAAUCUAGGGUUUCUCAUUUAGCACCUCCAUUACCUCGUCCUCUGUUUUCGUCUUCUUCUUGUCAUACAUACAAUUACGUAUAGUUACAUUUAUAAUAUAAUAAAUAGAAAAUAAUUCACAUUUACGGUUAUGACUUAAACGACAAACUCAUCAUAUAUAUCAUUCUACAACUAUAUCAUAUAUUAUCUAUAAUAAAAAAAUUUCUUCAAAUAUGUAUAUUGAUAAAAAAAUAAUUUGAGCCUGCGAGUUAAAGUCUAGUUAACAUUGAACAUUACUAUUUCCCGUCGAUAAACGCAAAUCUUUUUUUUUUUUAUCUCCAUAGAGUUGAGAUAAAUUAGAUUUCUUUGUUCUUUGUUUCGCAAAACAUUUCGAUCUUGAUAUUUAAUUUCUUUUAAAUUUUGUUUUUCUAUACUUUGUAAAACAUAAGCGGAAGCGGAAAAAAUGCUGAAUGUGAUCGCGAACAUACAAACAAUUGAUAAUCUAUAUGUAAAAGCAAACAAAAACACAGUCAAUGCCAAGAAGAAGAAAGAAUAGAAGCAGAUAACAAGCCUUGUCACCAAUGUUGUUGUCGUAUAUUGGCUUACGGUUCCGGUUUACGGUUUCAAUCGUGUAAUUUGGUUUAGUGCUUCCGACCAGGCGCAUUGGGUUAUUAUGGUUUGGUUUAUUUCCCGUUAAGUAAUAUUGUAUUAGAAAAACAAACAACCAAAAAUAUAAAUACAGUUUGAAAAGGUUAAAAAAAAAUGUUGUUGUUGUAAAGCCGGUCGAGACUCGAGACCCUUAUAGAAUAGGCCUUCGUCGGAAGUGGCACAAGUGCUUUGAAUGUACUUGUUUAGAUGAUGACCGAGAGUGUAUAAAUUUUAAAUUCAAGUUUUAUGUUUUUUAUGAUUCCGAUUGAUGAGUGUACAAUUUCAAAUUCAAGUUAUAUAAUUCUAUAUAAUUCUAAAUUCUAUGGGUCCCUAUAAAUCUAUUUUCUUCUAUCGGAAUCAUAAUAGAAUUGUAUUGACCUUAGAAGAUGAGGUUUAUUUCAAAAGGACCCAAACUUUUCUAAACCUUCCUAGUGAUGAAGAGGGUUCGAAGAACUGGUGGACUGCGUGUUGUUUUUUAUGGUAAAGAGAUGAAAAGUAACAAACAUGCCGUUUUUCGGCCAAGUUUUAUGCUGGAUCUAAGGCCUCUUUCCGUACAAGUGGACAUCAUGCAGAGGCCCACAAAAUUUCAAACCUCAGGCCAUGCCACACGCCAAAGGUACUUUCCGGUCUGAUUCCUUGUUGAGAUCAAUAUGUUUUUUUUAUUCACUUAUUAAAUAUAAUCAAUUAAUUUUCACUUAGUUAGUUAGUUGUCUUUGUAUUUAUUGUGGAAAUUUAUAAUUGAUUGAUUGUGUCGUAAAAGAGUUAAAAAGAAAGUUGAAAAAAGAAAAGUUUGUUUAACGGGAUUAAUGGUUAAAGAGAAAAAGAAUUAAAGCAAUGCAACUUUGGUAGCGUGUCUGUUUUGGGUAUAAUUUCAUUGGUUCAAAUCCGAUCAUCGUUGUUCUUAUGGCAUUGAGUAUUAAUUAUUCAGUUACAAAAUCGAAAUUUCUUAUACACUGUUGUCAUUUUAGCUUCUACUGUGUGUGUGUGUCUGUGUGUUUCCAUGCUGUAAUCUUCAACUUUAGAGGAAUUUGAAGUUAUCUCCAUAUAUAGAGAUCCUAUUUUAUAAAUAAUAUAAAUUUUUAUGUAAAACUAUGGACUUUUUAUAGAUACCUUGAAUUUCUAUUAAAAAAUAUGUUCUUUUCCUUAAAAUUUAUCGUUUUGCAUCAUCAUUCAUCCGUUUUUUAGAUAUUAUUUCUUUCCAAGAACUGUAUGGUAAUAAAAAUGAGUACUUAUUAUUAUUCUACCAUUGGAUAUGACAUAUAAUAUCUAGAUAUGUGGCUUUAUAUGCUAUAAAAUUGUCUAUGGCAGAAACAUAAAUGAAAAAAUCUAUAAUAAAGGAAAAAUAAGUAUCACUAAACUUGUCUAUGGCGGAAAAACAAAUAUAAAGGAAAAAUAAGUAUCGAUUCUCCAUGAGGAUCACACAAUUUCAUUUUAAUGCAAGUUUGUGAUGUUAAUAAAAAAAAAGGAAAAAUAAGUAUCACUUACAAUACAACAAACAAAAGUUAAGUAUUAAUGUAAAUUAUUAGAAAUUUGGCUGUAGAUGAUAUUCAUUUUCAAACAUUAAACUUUAACGUUUUUUAAGAAAUUCAAAAUGAUAAUAAAUAAUAAAAUGUAAAUUAUCAAAAAACUAAAUUUUGUGGAUGAUAUAUGUGUAUAAAAAUAUUAGAUGUUUUAUCAUCUUUGAAGUUCUUGGUCAAUGUUUUAGAGUUGAGCCCUGUGGGACCUACUCCGUUUACAGAAAGAAAUUGUGGACUCAAUGUUUUAGAGUUGAGCCUUGUGGGACCUACUCCGUUUACAGAAAGAAAUUGUGGACCCCAUGCACUAUUUCGAACCGUUAGAUUGACAUUACAACACCAAAAAGAUGAUCACACGGCUGGAAAAAACGAUGCUGCUUUCAUGUUCAACACGUGUCCAAACGUGCUCGAGAAUUUUUUUCGCAAGCAUUAGAAAGGUACAAACUACCUUAUAACGACUUCAUGAUUAUUUCAUGACAAGAUUUAAUUACUACUUUACCCUUGGACUAGCAGAUUUUCUUUUGGAAAUAUUUUUCUUAUUCUAAAACAAGUAACCAAAGGCUAGAUUUUUGCCAACUCAUCACUCUUCACAAUUGCUCUGCUCCUAUUUAUAAACUCUUAAUAUUUUACCAUUAGCUUUACUUCUCCCAGCUUUUCCUCUUCCUUAAUUUAAUUGUCAAGCUUGAAUUUCAUUUCAGCUAUCAAUUUGAUUUCUUCAGCAUCCUUUCUUUGCAGUGUAGUUAACUGCUCUUUUCUAAAUCUCUAUGUUCUUCACCAACUCGAUCAUUUCUUAAAAUCUAGUGUUUCUUCUUUCCUUUUCGUAGUUUUUUGUUACUCUAUCUUCUAUUUUCCGUUUGCAUUCUUUGCUUUUUUUUUUCAUCGUAUGGAGUUCGAGUCAGUGAUUAAAAUGCAUUAUCCAUAUCUCGCAGCCGUUAUCUACGAUGAUAAUCUCACCUUAAAAGAUUUCCAUUCAUCUCUUACCGAUGAUGUUUCAUGUAUACAAAAUAUGCAUCAUAAACGUAGCCAGGUUAAUUUCGAUAGGUCACAUCUCCCAUCGACCAUAAACUCCUCUCCUGAUAUUUGUCACAAAAACCAAACAUCGAAGAUCUCAAACACAACCUCCGAUCAUAAUACUCUAAAUCUAAAUAUUGUUCCUAUUCACUUUGAUAUGCAGCCUCAAACAUACGAAAUACCCUCAAAAGAUACUUUUAGAGGCAUCAUUCCAUCUCCAUGCACCGAGGCUUUUGAGGCAUAUCUUCAUGGCAUAUCCAACGACCAAGAUCUCUUCGAUAUGGCCUAUAGCACCUCACUAGGUGUUGAACCCAAGGAUGUACCCAACGUUUCACAUGUCCAACGUGAAAAUACUAUGUGGGAAAAUAAUCAAAACCAAGGACUCGUCUUUGGGACCGAGGCAAUCUUCAAUCUAGCCAUGGUUGACUCUAACCUAUACGAUGCGGCUAAAUCAAUGGGUAUCUCGAGCGCAAACGUUGAUCCCAUCAUGAAUCGACGUCAUCAUAAUCAAAUAUUGAUCAAAACCGAUCAGAUCAAGAAGCACAAGAGAUUUCAGAUGAGGAGAGUAUGUAAACCCACGAAAAAAGCUAGCAUCAUCAAAGGUCAGUGGACUUCCGAAGAAGACAGGUAAAUUCCCUUUUUUUUUUUUUUUGGAAUUCUCAUUGAUGUUUUUGAUUAUAUGGUAUGCUUGUUAUUUCUUAAAAAAGAGUAAUUUACUACACAAGAUUUUUUGAUGAUUCUACCUAUAUUUAGGCUAUUGGUGCAAUUAGUGGAGCGUCAUGGGACUAAAAAAUGGUCACAGAUUGCUAAGAUGCUUCAUGGAAGAGUUGGAAAACAGUGCAGAGAAAGGUGGCAUAAUCAUCUCCGUCCUGAUAUCAAGGUUUUUUUUUUUACCUUACCCUCUUGUUUUUUUUUUUUGUUUUCAUAUUUAUAUAUAUGAUACAAUGAAUCAUACAUAUAUCAUUAUAUCAUUAUGUAUAUAUGGUCGUCAGUGUGUGUUUACAGUAAGAGAAGCAUACAUAUAUCAUUAUACCUAUGUUUAGAUGUCCAUGACACAUCAACGAUGUGUUCAUUAUGUCACUUCAAUUGACAUCGUAUCAUGAUAUGGAUAUAUAAGCAAAUAUAACUACACGCUUUCAAUUUAUUUUUAUGAUUUACACAUAAACUAAAUAUAUAAUUGUUAGAAACUAAAUAUCCAAUUGAAUGUGUUUAUGUUGAUUUUUUUUUUUGGGUGAUGAGACUUUAAUUUAAAAUACUGAUUCUAUUAUAUAUAUUAUAUUAAAAAUUGGUAUACAAUUACAACUUAUUUUUCCACAAAGAAAACAAAAUAUCAUACUCUGUUUGUUCAGAUUCAUAGAGAAAGUUCUAAAAAAAAAUUAAACAAACUUUUUUCACAUUUGUCAAUAUGUCUACGGUCCUAACUCAUGCAUGAAUACUUUAAACUUUUGUUUGUAUAUACUUAUAUGUCUAUGACAUUUUAAUUAAUGCAUUUCGUCUUGUUGUUGUGGACAAAUAGGUCACAAUUGGUAAGCAUUCAAACUAAAGACAAUUUCACGUAGAUUCUCUCGUAACAACGUAACAGACAGAGACAAAUAAUAAAAAUAAGUAAUAUGUUUAUAUGUUACAGAAAGAUGGUUGGAGUGAAGAAGAGGAUAGGAUACUAAUUGAAGCCCACAAGGAGAUCGGGAACAGAUGGGCUGAGAUCGCUAGAAAACUCCCUGGACGCACUGAAAACACAAUCAAGAACCAUUGGAACGCGACUAAACGCCGACAACACUCGAGGAGGAGUAAAGGAAAAGACGAGAUCUCCCUUGCACUUGGCAGCAACACUCUUCAGAAUUACAUCAGAUCUGUUACUUACAACGAUGAGCAUACUCUCAUGGCUGCAAACUCUGACGCAAACGAAAACGUCGGUUCAAGAAACAUGAGAGGUAAAGGUAAAGCUGUAAUCGCUGCAGUCUCUGAGUACGGAGAGAACAGUGAUGAGAAUGAUUGCAAGUAUAUCGUUGAUGGUGUGAUGAACUUGGAUUUAGACGAUGGAAGAAAGGAGAAAACGGCGUCGUUGGCAGUUGGGUCAGGGUCAACGUCUACUUCUGGUUCGACGUCUGGAUCAGGAAGUGGUGUAACCGUGGAGCUUGAUGAACCCAUGACAGAUAGCUGGAUGGUGAUGCAUGGGUGCGAUGAAGUUAUGAUGAAUGAGAUUGCUCUGCUUGAGAUGAUUGCUCAUGGCCGUCUUUAGGUCGCAAUUUAAUCAAGCCAAACUUGAUUAUAUCUUUAAUAUAUAAAACUAUGCUUUAUGUGAAAUCAAAUUUGUGCUUUUAAUUGACAUGUAAUAUAUAUUGUGGUUUAAUGAAUGCUUUUUUUCCCGGUCUCUCGGUUUUUUUUCUUGUUCCUUUUCGGAAAACCUCUCGUUUAACAAAGAAUCUAUAGAUAGUCAAUUUUCCGUCGUGUGAUUCCACAAGUCCACAGCAAAUGCACUUAAUCACUAUUCAAUAAUUGUGUAUCUAGCAGGAGGGUACUAGUGUACCAUCGAAAUAAAAGUAAUUUGCUUACAAAUCACAGUUAGAGUUUUGUCAAAAUGUUGGCAACGAACUGGCUGUAGACUGUAGUGUUUGUAUAUUUCUUUCCCCUUUGGUGAACAGAAAUCAUGUUCUUUGCUUUAAGUACGUAAUAUUUGGUAUCCAUAUUCAUUAACGAUCUUUUGAAUUAAUUUCAUAGCAAAUCGAACUUUUCCAAUCAAAGUUAUAAAAUAAAACGCUUCGUAAGAAUUUUAUGUCGGACUAAAAAAAAAUCUUGCUAUUCCUCAAAGAAUAAAAAAAACAUUAUAGGUGUUCACCAUAAAUAAUAGAAAAUAUAUAUGGCCUUGUAGAUAGGUACGUAUACCUUUUUCCAUUUUGAGAGGUUUUUUGCCUAUUUACAGAACGCACGAGACGAACGACGCCGUUUCAAUGCAACAAACGGAGGAGGUCCCACCUGUUCCUCUCUAUCCACCCUGUCUUGGUCUCCGACUUCUCGGUUUCUGUGGCUCACCGCCGCCAUUCGGAUGCUUCUCGGAUUUAUACGAAUCCCUUAGCUUCCGAAAUUUCUAUUUGACUUCUCCAUCACAAUUUCACGAUUACUGUAGAAAGAAGAAACUUCUACAUUUCUUCUUACAUUUCGUAAGUAUUAAGAACACCAUCAGUUUUGGCUUCUUCUGGAGAAUUUAUGUAUAGAUUUUUUUUUUUUUUUUUGACAUCUUCAUAUAUAGAUAAUAUAGCACAAUUCCUGAAAAAAAAUUUCGAAGUCUCGUCUUCUUCAGACUCGGAUUACAAAUCUGAAUUAUUAUUAUCUCUGUCUCUGUAGGUGAAUCGAUAAGCUACUUGUAUUCCCUCUCAUUUCGAUCUGGUUUCUCUACCCGGCGUUGAUCCAUUGGGUUUCGGAUCUGAAGAUCCGAAUAUUCAGUACGGAUCAACUGUUUAUAGGAAGAAGAAGAAUGAAAUCCCAGGGUGUUUCGGCUUUUACCAGCUUCGAUUACUGGUUUAAUUGGAGAGUGUUUCUCUGUGCGGUUUGGGUGUUGACUCCCAUGAUUGUUGCUUUGUUCGUCAUAUGGAAGUACGAAGAUAGCUCAGUACAAAACCAUCGACGAAUUGAUAAUGACAAUGGUGAUAGUGAACGCAAUGAUGAUGAGCUAUGCAUUGAUGAUGUUUGGAGACCUUGUUUUAAACGAAUCCAUCCCGGUUGGUUACUGGGUUUCCGGGUUCUCGCCUUCUGCUUUCUUCUAGCGAGCAACAUUGCCCGGCUCGCUUUUCGUGGAUGGCGUAUUUACUACUAUUACACUCAGUAAGCUCUUCAAAAUCUCAUUUUACUGUGUAAAAAUCUUCAUUUUAGGGGUUUGUUCAGGAUCACUGAUGCUUUGAGGCACUGAAGUUGUUUCCAUAUUCUUGAUACGAUUGAGACUUGUUUGAUUCGGUGUUGUCUUGGUUUCUUGAUAGGUGGACAUUCACGUUGAUAGCAAUCUACUUUGGGGUAUAUUUUGAUUUCAAUGUUGUGAAUAUAUGUUAUGUUUUGUGUUCAGAUAGUGAUGAUGAAUGUGUUUAUUUGGGUAUGUUCUGUAGAUGGGAUCACUGCUUUCCAUUUAUGGGUGUUUUCAACACAAAAAGCAACUGAGCACGAGAUUAACGGCUGAUCAAGUAGGAAAUGAUGCAGAGAACGGAUUUCGUUUGCCCCUUAUAAAUGGGGAGAACGUGGUUUUUCUCGAGAAGGGAAAAACUUUGGACUCAAAGGCACUACAGUCCUGUGUCCAUGUCUUGCAGAUUAUAUUUCAGGUAGACACAAAUCCUUUUGAUAUGAAUAUAAUUAGUAACUUUUAGAUCUCUGAGUAUAGCAUCGUGUAGAUUAUCUGUGAUGAUCAAUGAUGUUGUUUUGGCAUUUGUGCGUUUUGGUUUUGUUGAAAAACAGAUGAGUGCUGGAGCGGCUGUGCUUACAGACAGUAUAUAUUGGACCGUGAUUUUCCCGUUUCUGUCUUUACAGGACUAUGAGAUGAGUUUCGUAAGUUUCGCGCCAUUUCCUCAAGAAUUUUCCUUACCAUAUACACUGUACUAGUAAAAGCUGGUGCAUGGCACUUUCUAUGUUGCAUAAGUUCUGUUACUUGGAGUUUUAUACUUGCCUUGAAUUUAUUUGAAUCAACCUUGACCGGCUUGAAAACUCGAUCUCAACAUUUCGACUGCAAAUUGUGUUUUCAGAUGACCGUGAAUUUGCAUACGAGCAACCUCAUUUUGCUGCUUUGUGACACAACUCUUAACCGUCUGGUAAACACUCCUUUUCUCUUCCGCAUUUAAGAUGUGACCAAGCGUUUUUUUUUUACAUUAAUGUAUCAACGUGAGUUUUUUUUGGUGUUACUCGCAGAGAUUUCCCUUGUUCAGGUUCUCUUACUUCAUCUUGUGGACAGGAAGUUUCGUUAUCUUCCAAUGGAUUCUCCAUGUUUUUGUCUCCGUAGGGUAAAAACUCGUCUUUUUUGUCAUCUUAUAUCUUACACUUUGUUUCUUGAUCUUUCCUAAGUUUCUAUUCCUCGAUUGAUUUAGGUGGCCAUAUCCAUUUCUCGACCUGUCAAUGCCAAUGGCUCCAGUGUGGUAAGCCUUCAAAACAUUUACAUUCUAGAUAAGUCAGCAGUUUUAUAGAGAAGAAGAAUGAAAAUAUUUUGUUACAUCAAAAUGCUUCAUUCGCUAGACUAUUUUGCCGAUCCUUAAUAGUUUACGUUCAUGCAUCUGCAGGUAUUUGUUGGUAGCACUCCUGCAUUUUCCUUCUUAUGGCUUCUAUGCAUUAUUCGUCAGUAUCAAACACAAACUCACUGCUUAAAGUGAUUUCAAAUGCAAGAGUUUUGCCUCGAAGAAGAGUCAAUUCUCAUUUCAUUUCAUUGGUUUCAACAAUGAAAGAAACACAGUGCAAACAGUACUUUUUACCCAUAUGUACUCAAAAUCUCAGAACAGAAAAGUAUAUAGUUACCACAAUUUUCAAAACAUUCUCAAUCGUUUUGUCAUUGAAUAAAUCUUUAUAGCUGAUCUAAUUUGGUAGUGUAGAAACCUUCUAACGCGAUGAAUGUGAUCUGUUUCAACCAGUCAUCAAAUGGUUAAGUCUUGUGCAAACCAAAUGCUUCAUCAGCCUGCAAGAGAACGGCUUGUGCUAGUCUUCCCCUGUUUGACCAGUUUAGUCAGAGCCAUAUCGAUCUGACCAAACACUUCCUCUUUAGAACAAUUUCCCUUGAUCGUUACCGUUAUAUCUCGGUACAUCGAUAACACAUCUCUGACAUUUCGGUUAUGAGUCUUUAACCGGAGUUUCACCUUCUCUUUGGUAUCAUCAAACCGUUGAGUGAGCCUAGCAGCGAUCUCUUCUGUCUCCGGAAGAGAAUACUUCAAGUGGUAUAUCUUCCCAGUGACAGGAUCUAAUCUACGCCCGAUCACUCUAUCGAUAAGAAUAUCUUCAGGCACUUCAAGGAGAAUGAACAAAUCAGGCUCGAAUCCAAAUCUCUUGAGAGAUGUUGCUUGUGAUAAACUCCUUGGGUAUCCAUCUAAAAGCCAUCCGUUUUGCUUCGACAAAGCUUCUUUCACCAUCGUUACAAGUAUUUCAUCAGGAGCCAAUUCUCCUUUCUCCAUGAAUUCUUUUGCUAGUCGUCCGUUUUCGCUUCCGGAAUCGAUUUCAGCUCGAAGCAAACCUCCAGCUGAUAUUUGAACCAAACCAUAUUUCUGAGUAAUGAGCUCGCAUUGUGUGCCUUUACCUGAAGCUGGAGCUCCUGAUAUUAUGAUUCUCAAAGGCUCAGCUUCUUCCGCCGCCGCCUCUGCCGCCAACGCCGUGAUCUGAAAACUAGUGGCGGUUUGCUUCCGGCGAAGACAGAGUAGGGCGUUUCUGGUGGAUGAAAAAGAUGACCGUGAAACAGAUUUGUUAAAACUGAUGCUGCAGCAGAGUGACUUUGAAGGUGAGACACAUGGCGGGCAUAGAGUCAUCGCCGGAGAAUUCACACAGCUCGCCAUUUCUAUUUCCUCUCCUUUAUAUCUAAAAGCACUACAGAGUUAGAUUUCACAGGCUAAAACUGAUAUGACUUUUUACUUCGAAAAGCAAAAUUGGAGCUUUCUUCUGUUUUAAUAUCCCAAAAUGUAUUUUUACUUUUAAAGUGCAUUUCCAUAACUUAAUUUCAAGCUUUCAAUAGAGAAUAACGGAUUCGAAAAACACUACAAAACUCGGAUCCAAAUACGAUAUCAAUAUACAUACGAUCAAGCAUCAAUUAUCGAGGAUCUAAGCAAAACAGGAUGAGCAAGAAACUUUGAGCUAACAGAAAAUCGAACGGCUGGAAAUGGAUCCGACUCAUAAAUGUAGAGCAGAAAGAUGGAAAACUAUCGAUUAAAGCUUACAAGUAAACUUAAACAAAGCGUUGGAGAAAUAUAAUCUCAGCCAUGAAUAUAUUUGAGGGCAGUAACAGAGAGAAGAUGUACCACUUGCAAUAAGCCUGAGUAUCUGCGAAGCUGAGACGUUUACCGGCGGAGAGGGAGAGCGAUAUUUUCCCGUUUCCUCUAUUUUUAUUGACAGCGACGUGUAAAUAAAAUUUUUUUUUUUUGAUAAGGUGUAAAUAAAUAUUUAUGAACUCACCUCAGUAAAAGUAGCGUAUUUAUCAGAUGAACCCCUAAAAGUUUUUCAAAUUUUUAAUAGGCCCAAAUCUUUUGGCCUUCUGAUGAUGUGGAGCCUUUCAGGAAUCUGAGAACCGCGCGGCGUUGUAUAGCUUGCCUUCCACUACAACGGUAAAAAGGAUCUUGACGCUACCCUGAAUUUGAACUCACUCUCUCGAUUUCUCUCCAUUUCUCUGAGCUCGUUGCUCUUCAAGUUUCGUCUCGCACAGGUGUUUGAUUCUGAUUUAAAGGUGAGUUUGAUUGAGAUUAUCCGUGCAUUUCUCAAUUGUAUUUGCUCGAUUCGUGAUCGGUUUUAGUGGAGUGAUUGCGAGUUUCUACUGGUCACCAUCUCGUAACUUCCUCACACAUUUCCUCUGAAAUUUUCGCUAGCGUAAUCUGUUUGCUAAGUUUGAAUUUGGCGAUUAGUUUUGAGAUAUCAAUCGGUUUCCGCAUCAGGAUCAGAGCAGAUUUUGGUUUAAAUUCGUGGAUGGCGAUGGAAAAUUAGUGUUGGUGUUUUUGAUGUAAUCGCUAUAUCACGCUGAUAAAAUCUGCAGAUCGUCAAAUUGCAAUUGGUCAUGGAUACACACACUCUGAAAUCUGUCUCUGAUUUGCCUGGAAACUUCCGCUCAGCUUUUAGUUUCAGGUAAUAUCCCUUUACAGUUAGAUUUAGUUUUGAUCUUGUAGUCACUGUGUGCUAAUCUAUUUAUUGCUCGCUUUAGAUGUAUUUUUGCUUACUCAAGGAAUGGUUGGAUGAAUGUUAUCUUCAGGAACAUGAUGAUGAUUUGCUUUUCUUUGGUCCUUUAUCAAACACUGGUUGUGAAUCUAAAACUUUCCUUUGUGUUGCUUCUGGCUCGUUUGUCUUCAGAUACUUCAAUUCGCUGCAAAGCGAGUGCUUUCCACUUUGCUUUCACUCCGAUAUCAACAUGGUUAUUUCAGCGCCAACGGGAAGUGGUAAAACCGUACUUUUUGAGCUAUGCAUUUUGAGGCUCCUCUCCAAGUCUAUCUCUAACGAAGGAAGGUUUCUCCAUGCUAAAGGAGCUCUUAAAACAGUAAGCUUUUGAUCAUGAGAUUUUUUGAAUGUUUUAAUGCCUUCGUUUUUACAAUAAAUACACCAAUACUGGACAAUAAGUUUAUUUAUGGUUUCUUCAACCUCUGUUGUCAAGGUUUACAUAUCGCCGUCCAAGGCUUUAGUACAGGAGAAGCUGCGUGAUUGGAAUCAAAAAUUUAAUUCAUGGGGAAUCAGUUGUUUGGAGCUGACAGGUGAUAAUGAAACCUACAGCACAAAGAAUAUACAAGACGCAGAUCUUAUCUUGACCACACCUGAGGUCAGAUAACAAUUUAUAUUGCUUGGUGUAUUUACUGUCUGGAACAUGUUUAUAGCGUCUGAUUUUCCCCAAAGCUUUUAGCCAGAACACAAGCAAUAUAAGACAUUUCAUUCCGUGUUAACGCAAAGUACAUAGUUUGUAUCUCCUCUGGCUGUAGCUUACAUUUUUUCCUACAGAAAUUUGAUGCAGUGAGUCGUUAUCGCGUUACCAGUGGAGGCUUAGGCUUUUUCAGUGAUAUUGCGCUUGUGCUCAUUGAUGAAGUUCAUCUGCUGAAUGAUCCGCGUGGAGCUGCUCUGGAGGCAAUAGUCAGUAGGAUAAAGAUUCUUUCUAGCAAUCAUGAACUAAGUUCAAGUCCUUUAGCCUCCGUACGUCUUCUGGCUGUCUCAGCUACUAUCCCAAACAUUGAGGAUCUAGGUAAAAUACAGUUCACAGUUCUAGUCAUAUUUUGCAGAUUUUAUAACAUAUUGGUUUUUUUGCUUUGUUAACCUGCUUCGAGAGUAGAAAUUGAAAAGACUUGCUUCAAAACAACUAAAGUGAUAAUACUUAUUCAAUUACUGCAGCGGAAUGGCUCAAGGUUCCUACCGCAGGAAUUAAGAGGUAAACUAUGGAUUGCUUUUAGAAAUAUGCCCUUACGUGGGGAAGUGUUUUCAUUUUCUUCAUUGUUUCCCUUCCCAUGUUAUAUAGGUUUGGUGAAGAAAUGAGGCCUGUUAAGUUGACGACUAAAGUUUUUGGUACCUGUCGCAUCUCAAAGUCAAUAUUUUGGCUCUUUAUUUAUUUUUUGUUGUUUAAAUGUUAAGAUGCCCGGGUUGAUGAAUUUGGUUAGCUAUUGAUGAAAUCCUGUUUUCAUGAAUUUUAAGAAAAUGUUUCUUGUCUUUCCUGUAAAGGUUAUGCUGCUGCCAAGAAUGACUUCUUAUUUGAAAAGGUAUACAGUUUCUGCAUCUUGGUUUUCAAUAGCUAUACCCCCUCUUGUCCUUUUCGUAAAAACGGAAACUAAACCAAGUCUUGUUUUCCUUUCUUUUCUUUCCCCAUAUCCAGCGCCUCCAGAACUAUAUUUAUGGUAAGCGGCUUAUCAUGAUUUUCUUCUGUUAUUGCUGUCUUGCUUAGGUUGUAACUUACACCGUUCUGUUGAGGAAAUAUAUAAACUUGCAGAAAUUUUAAUGCAAUUCUCAAAAGGAAAAUCUGCCUUAGUUUUCUGCUCGACACGAAAAGGCGCUCAAGAGGCUGCACAAAAGCUUGCUCAGACUGCAAUGACCUAUGGCUAUUCAAAUCCAUUUAUUAAAAGCAGAGAACAGCUGGAACGGUUAAGGGAGGCUUCGCCAAUGUGCAGUGACAAACAAAUGCAAUCUUAUAUUCUCCAAGGCGGUAUGGUCUGUUUCAUCUUUUAGAGGUUUUGAUCAUACCUUUGAUUCAGCAUUGUCCUGCAAGCUGAAUAGCACCGCAAUGUCCCAAUUAGUUGGUUAUCACAAUGGUGGUCUUUGCCAAAAAGACCGCAGCCUCGUGGAAGGGCUCUUCCUUAGUGGAGAUAUCCAAGUUCUUUGCACGACCAACACUCUUGCUCAUGGAAUCAACCUGCCUGCACAUACAGUUGUCAUAAAGUCAACUCAACAUUUGUACGUCUUUGCGUAGAUGGUUCCAUUAAGAAUUUUUUUUGGAACUUAAGUUAAUAUCCACUGACAUAAUUUUCCUUUCAGCAACAAGGAAAAAGGUCACUACAUGGAAUAUGAUCGUUCCACACUACUACAGGUGUGUUAUUCAAGCAUGUGUAGUUGUCUAGAUGAUAUUGCAUUCUAAUUAUCUGUACAAGCUACUGGAAUGUGCUCUAAAUGAUAUUGCUAGCAGGAGAAGUAAUCUCUCUUUUGCAGAUGUGUGGCAGGGCUGGUCGGCCUCCAUUUGAUGACACGGGAAUGGUUAUUAUUAUGACUAGAAGAGAGACGGUUAUAUACUGCAACUUUUCUCUGUGCCUGAAUCUCUUACUUUAUGUUAACCUUCCCUUAUCUUAUCUGGCUGUGAUUUAUUAAAUGAUUACAGGUCCAUCUCUAUGAGAAUCUUUUGAAUGGAUGCGAGGUUGUUGAAUCACAGUACGUAUUGGCCGAUAAACUUUUUGGAACUCUUUGCUUUUCGGCACAUUCUUCAAAAGCUAUUUGUUGACUUUAAAAAACAUUCUUCUGUUGUUUUUAUGUUUUUGUCUCAGAUUACUGCCAUGCUUAAUAGAGCACCUAACCGCAGAAAUAGUUCAACUUACUGUCUCUGACGUUUCACGGGCAAUUGAGUGGAUGAAAUGCUCAUACCUAUAUGUCAGAAUGAAAAAGGCAUGCUCUUAUGCGCUCUCAAUGAUUCUUACGGUAAAUUUUUUUUUAUCAUAUAUGGUUAAACUAACUUUUAAGUUCGUAUGGACAGAAUCCAGAGAAUUAUGCUAUUAAGAAAGGAAUUCCUAAAGAUCGAGUUGAGAAGCAUUUGCAAGGUGCUCUAGUGACGUAGUUACUGUACUCAUUUUUCCCUUUUGAGGUUCUCAUUUGUCCUAGAUUUUAUCAGAGCUUUGCCUUCAGAAGAUCAAUGAGCUGUCACGUUAUCAGAUGAUUUGGACUGACACAGACGGUUUUGUUUUGAAACCAGAAGGUAUUGAGAUUUAUGAUUACUUAUCUUCGAUUUCGAAACAGAAUUGACUCGUUAUAUUUUGUAGAGCCUGGAAGGCUGAUGACAAAGUAUUAUCUAAAGUUUGACACAAUGAAGUACAUUAUCCAUGCGCCAACGGGCUAUAGCUUGGACGAGGCUCUUCAUAUUGUAUGCCGUGCGGAAGAGAUAUCUUGUAUGUCAUUUCUGCUUCGGUACAUAGCUCUUUUUACUUAAUGAGUAAACUAAUUCUGUUUAUUUGGAAAAAUGAAGGGAUACAGCUCCGACGCAAUGAAAAGAAGACCUUAAAUGAUGUAAAUGCAGAUAAAGAAGGGCGGCUUAGAUUCCACAUCAACGAUAGUAAAGGAAAGCGGAAAAAACGCAUCCAAACCAGAGAAGAGAAACUAUUUGUGCUUGCAAAUGAUUGGUUGACAGGGGAUCCUUCAGUCCAUGAUUUAUCCAUGACUCAGGUCCACCAAUAUUAUAUUCAUGGCUCCCUCUAAUCACUUUAUGACACUUACUUCCUACCUCAUCUGAAAAUUGGAUCUUUUGUCUCAGGACGCUAACUCGAUAUGCUCCAACGGAUCUAGAAUAGCCAGAUGCAUGAAAGAGUACUUUAUAUACAAAAAGAAUUAUAAAGGAACGAUUAGCUCAACUCUUCUAGCCAAAUCACUUUAUCAGAAGCUCUGGGACGACAGUCCAUAUUUGCUGAAACAAUUGCCUGGCAUUGGAAUGGUUACAGCAAAGGUUUGAUGUCUGUCUGCUCUUUAUAAGAUCGUUCACUGCACCUUACCUUUCAGAUGCUUCAAUGAUUUUUUUUUUUCUUGGUAACUUUUGUCUAAAUACAUUCUUUUGCUAGGCGCUUCACUCGAUGGGAGUCAGAUCAUUUGAAGCUCUUGCUGAAGCUGAUCCAAGAAGGAUAGAGAUUGUUACCGGUCGAAAAUAUCCUUUUGGAAAUCAUAUAAAGGAAUCUCUAUCUUCCUUACCUCCAAAAGUAGAAAUCAAGGUCGAAGAAGUUGAAUGUCAUAAGCAAGGUGUAUCUAAACUAGCAGUCACAUUGACACGACUAUCACAACCUCUGCAAUCCACAAAACGCCAUUAUGCUGACAUGGUUGGUUUCCUUAACUUUCUGCAGUUAUAUUCUAACUCUGCUGAAGAUAGUGUACCUGCAUCUCCACGUCUCUGCAUAGUCUUGUGAUCUUCUCAUUAGUAAAAGAUAAGUACUAUAUGAGCUACUAAUCUGUAUCCUUUUCUGGCAGAUUGUUGGUUCAGAGGAAGAAAAUCUUAUCCACUUUCAUGAGAAAAUAAGGUUAUGCGCGCUUGCUUUUCUUCUGAUAACGAAUUGGUUCAUGGACUUUUUACCAACUCUCUCGUGUUUCACAUAAGCCUCUUGUAAGACAUUCAUGUAAAUGUAACUAAUCAGUGAUACUUUUAUGGCAGCAGAAUGGAGGACUUCUCCAGGUCUGUUUACCUGUCGGUCACUCUAUCAUCAUCAACCAACCCAGUGUAACUCUUCGUCGAACAUGGUUUAAGAUUUGAAAUAAUUCUAAUCUUCUUUGUUUCCUCUUUCUAGUCCCUAUAGCGUAACCAUACUCCUGGAAAGGCCCCAACAAGCAAAGGUGACUGUGAAGGCUGAUCUCAUCUUCGAAGAAUACAGUUAGGUCUUCAAAAUAGCAUCACUGAUUUGGUAGCAAAACUUGAUAACCAAGUAGUGAGUAAGAAAUUGAAACAUGAAGUAACUUAUCAAGUGUGUGUAUUUCCGGGAUUUUGUUUUGUAGUUGGUAUUGAUCUCCAUGAAACGCUUCUACUGAAGAAGGCAAAAAACAGCAAAAUAUAUUACCAAAGCGAAAACAGGCUGCCACACUAUUAUCCUCCGAUGGUGGAUGUCUACAUAGUGGAUGAUGACAACACAGUUAAAUCCGGACCUUCAAACCAGAAUGAUCAAAAAGAUGAAAUGUGAGUCCAUUUUUUAGUACUUUCUUGCUCAGAAUGUGUCUUAUUAUCAAAUUUAUUCCCUCUACCCAUAAAUACAUAUGUUUGUCAUGAAUACAACUUUCUGCUCAAUUUACUUCUACAGGCCUAGUUUCAAGCUCUUAGAUGAAGAUUCAGAAGAAGGUUAGAUGGUCACUACAAAUUUAAAUCCACCACAAGUUAUUUUCGUGUGCUUUGUAUUCCAUUAACAAUUUUUCAACCCAAAAUUCCUUGCAGAGAAAGAGCCCUACGUGACGAUGGAAGAAGACGACUGCGUCAUUAUCAAUGAACAUACAGUUUUUGACCACAUACGUGAAAAAGCAAAGUGUUUUCCUUCAUUGGCCACUUUGAAUCAAACCUCUCCGGCAUCAGGAAAAUCAACUCUGAAAAGGAAGAGCUUAUUGGAGAAUUCUCCUGAACUCGAUCCUCUAUUUCAGUAUAAUUCUGUGCUUGGUUCACCUACAAAUACUAAAAAAAUCAAACAAAGCGCACAGAAAAUUACAAGCCCGAGUUAUGCAAGCCUUGCAGACAAUAAUGGUGAGUAAAUCAUCAUUCAUUCUGAAGUUUAUUUUACGUUUAUACACUUUUGGUUAAACUCUAACUAUUAUCCUCCCCAUUGAUCUGAAAAAGGGAAAACAGAAAGACCAUUCUCUGAUGAAACAGUAUUCAACUACAUAAGGAAAAGGUCCAAGAAUUCUCCGGUACUCGUCACAUCAAAAAUCGAGGAUCCCAUAACCAUCUCUUCUCAAGAAGGAAGAAACGCAGAGAUAAGUCCGUAUAAAGCCUACGGAUUAAUGGUUAGUCCUUCUGCUAAAAGACAAAGCAUCACAUUCGAUGCUACUGCAGAAAUGCUGUCCUUUGAUAUCUCAAUGGCGAAGAGAACCAGCACCAACUUAGAGCAGAAGAAAGCAUUCUGCUCGAUGCUUCCAAGUAAGUCUAAAGUCUCUGAUUCUUUUCUUGGAUUUAAAAGCAUCUUCUCGUUUCUGUGACUUUCUCAUUUACACGCCAACACAAAAACUAGCUCCUAGAGAGCACAUGCUAAUGAAGUAAUGAUAGUGGUAGUAAUAAAAUUGGACCGAGGUGGUUUGUAAGUAAGAUUACAGUAGAUGGGAUGCAGUUACAGAACUGCAUGACGUUUUGUGUUUCAAAAGAAAUUUGUAUCUAAAGAUUGGAAGUAAACUGGCACUUUCUACAUGGAUUUCUAAACCAUGAAGACAUGAAGUGAUGCAUGGAUCUUAUAAGUCUAUGAAGACGAAGAGACAACUCAACCUUAACGAAAGUAAUAGAUAAAUGACAAAAAAAAAAUUGUAUUCUGCACUGGAUCAACUGUUUACGAAACAAAAAAAAAAGCAUUAAAACGAGAAAUAUAAAACUACAGUAAUAAGAAAAAAUUGAUGCUACGAAGAGAAACUGUCUUAUAAGCACCCUGACCCUGAAUAUUACUCACACUGAAGUCCCUCCGCUAAAACCGCACUCCGAAGAUCAGCAUAUGUCAGCACAAAACUCAAUUGCUUUCUCUAUUCCCUUUGAUCUGUAAGGUGCAAUGCUGUGGUUGAUACCAGCUUGAGUUGGACCCAACAAAUCAUUCUCAAUGCACUUAUACAUUUCUUUGCAGAGGUUAUCAAUCACAGGACAUAAAAAUUUGAGUUGAUUCUUCAUCAUCUUUAUGUCAUCUUCACUAUAUUCAUCAAAAGGCUCUUCUAAAAUCUUGGAAAGUCUCUCAACAUUACCUUCAAGUUGCUGCUGCUGAUCUUCAAACAGAUUCUUCUUCAUCUCUCUAUCCAAAUCGCUCAUCUCAUCUUUGAACAGCUCUUCCCCAAACAUGUAGAAGGCGAAAGGAUACGAAUACGAAAGAAUCCGUCUUGAUCUGAAUAACAGGUCGACUCCAUCUGUUAGCCAAGUGAGAUCUUUAAACACCAACUGAUCAUUCUUUUCUGAAAUGAACUCUGCCUUCUCAAGAAUGCUCUUCCUACGUUUAUCCUCUAGCUUUGAUGAAUCGGUAUGUGCUUUGAAAUGGUAAUAGUAAUGCGUGUACCUGUUUAAAUCCCUCUUGGCUCUCUCCAUUUGCCUCACUUUGUCCUCUUUGUACCUACCACAACUAUGACCCGAGAUACUCGUCCAGGUAUGGUCUCUUCCAGUAGCUCCACCACACAACCAACAAAAAUGCUGCCCACAAAUACAAGUCAUGAGAUUGCAUCCGUCACUCCUGUGGACAGGUUUGUUGCAUUUGGGACACACCCUCGUGUGAACUGUGAUCCAGUUAACUGUCUCAGACUCAUCUUCACACUUCUUUCUCCAUAGCUUCCACAUCAGACAAGAGCAAGGAGAGUGAGACUCGCUCAGACAGCUGAAACAGAACUGAAGACCACAAGAACACUCGACCUCGACCUCCUCAUCUUCCUCAGCUUUUCUUAUCGCGUUCCCGCAAUGCGGUGUGCUUGGACACCACUUGACCAUCUUGUUAUCUUCCACGUAUGACUCAACGAGGAAACGAUCAAACUUUUCAGCUAACUCCGGAGAAACUAGCUUCCUAACUACAUCUUCAUCGCAGAUCGCGUUGCACUUGUGAGCCAUGCAUGUAAUCCUUUUGCUCUUGCCUUCGUUGAUGUUCACAGUAAAAUGUUCCUUCCAACAAUCGUUGCAAAAGCAAUGACCACACUCCAUUCUCGUCAUCGCAGAACUUGGUAUAUCGUCUUCUAUGCAGAUAUCACAACUCAUCGUCUUCCUCUUCCUCGAACUAAUCAAGGAAGGAUCAAAGACAGUAAGACCAGCACUUUUGAACAAACUGUCUUUGCCUCUGUCACCAUAAACUCCAAUCAACUUAUUCACGUUCCACUGGUAAUGAAUGAGAAGAGUCCUCGCUUGGUUCUCCUUAACCGAGAGUAAUUCCAUAACCCUAGCUAAAACUUCCUUCUGUGCCAGUACAAGAGAUUCCUUCGUGAUGAUCUGGCUCGUUGAUUUUUUGGAGGACACCUCUUCAUGAGCAUGAUCAUCAUUGUAGUAAUCUUCAUAAUUAUCCUCCUCCUCUUCCUCUUCCUCCUCGAAGCUCAAAUAAUCGUCAUCCAUCGAUUUAAACUUUUUAUUAGAAUCAGAUUACCGAGAAAUCGUCGGACGGAGGCGAUCGAGAGCCAAAGGGAGAGAGUGUAGACGAAGAACACGAAAAGUCCUGAUAUGGUGGCGACUGGCGAGAUCUUCUUCACAUAAUAUUUGUAGGACUCACUCGAAUAACGCAAAUCUUUUGGGUGUUAGUUACUUUUAUAGAUAUAUCUUUUAUUUUAUUUUUUUUGGUGCGAAAUAGAUAAAUAUAAGUAUGUUUUCCUAUUCGAGUUGAAUUAAUCAAGUAAAUCUCUUCUUCUCCUUAUUGUAUAUUUUCUAUACUGUACAAAAAGGAAAUAAUGUAGGUGAAUUUUUUUUAAGGUGUUCGAAUAUAUGCUAAAUUUUCAUAGCUUAAUCUGUUGGGUUUCUUUUCUGAGUUCUUGAAAGAUUAAGUUUUUUUUUUUUUUUUUUAUGAUGACUCUUUGGGCAGGAAUUAUGGUAUAUAGCCAACUUAUGUUGGUUCAUUGAUUGAAUGAUUCAUAUUGAGAUAUCAAGCUUUAUAGAAUAAGAUACUGAUAAAAGUAUGUAUUGUAUGUUUGUAUGUAUCUUAAUUUCAUAAAUUUAUAUAUCUUACCUACUUUUUAAAAAUUGCCCCUUUUAAACGACUUACAACAUUUGUAUUUUUAUUUAUUUUGUAUUUUUUAGAUUUAAUUUAGACUCUUCUAAAUUUUCCUUUUUGUGUUGUUUUUUGACAAUUAUUUUGUUGGUUGAUUAGAUUGAACUUGUGACAUGAAGGUAAAAUGAGAGAUUCAAUAUUUCCUUUGAUCUUUUAUUUUGUGAUUUACGCUAGGUUUCUCUUUCGUCUAGAUCUUGUUAGUUUGGUCAUUCCAUUUUCUAUUUCGCAAGGAUUGUUUAAAAGUCUUUGUUUUCUAUGUUGUUUUCAAUUUGUAUUUUCUUUCUUGUUUUAGACUGUUGGCUCAAAAAACAUUCUUCUUUAUGACUUGAUUUGUUUUUUUUAAUCGUAUGACUUGGAUUUUGAAUUUCAUAAUUUAGGAAUAUGUGGAUAGGCAAAAACAUAAAUAAAUAGGAAUAUUGGGUCGUUCUGUAAACUGGAAGAACUCUAGGGGUAGCAAAUCCAAAUUUCGCUUCUAGUUUCUCUCCUCCUCGUCUUGCCUUGUUUCCUUGCAAUUUUAUUUUGAUAACAAAAAGCCCCUCCUCUCUCUCUCUCUACCCCACCCUUCUCUCUCUAAGCUAGCUCCUUCAAACCCUAACGACGAGAGCAGUCGCUAUCGGCGACGUGAUUCUCAGGUUUCUCCUUGUAAUUCUGGAAGGACGACGGCGAAGAAUCUCCGCCGCGGAUUUAGUCUUCAUCGACGAUCGCUGCGCCACUAUUGUUUUCUCCAAUUUCUUCUCAAUAUGUCCAUCCAUUGUUUUUGAUUUUGGUCAUCUGGCCUGAAUCCGAAUUUUGGCUGUGAAGAAGAGCGGCAGAGUCACUGGUUAUUCCGGGAGCACCUGUAAGAUUUAUUUCCCUUUUUCAAAGAUUUUUUUUUUGUUUUUUUUUUAUUUCUGAAGCUCUCUGGGUUCUUAAAAACCCUAAGUUUCUGCUGAUUGCUGUUACUAUUCUGGAGUUAGCUUAACUGGUUAGGGGUUUCGAGUUGUUGUGUGAAUUAGGAGCUUAAUCAAUAGCAUAUGCGAAGCAUGAAACCAUAGUCUGUUGGAUCUCGAGAGAGAUAAUUGUUGGUUUAUAAUCACUAAGGGGAAGAUGAGACUUAGGUAGUUGUUGUACGGCAUUGAUUGCACAUUACAUCGUUAGGGUAUCGUUUGGUCUAUUAUUCUUUGUUGUACAGUAAUCUGAUGGACACUACAUUGUAUCAGAGUCUUGUAUGAGCGACAAGAAGCUCUGCAUUAUCCAAGUGGAUCGAUGGAAAUUUCCGUUUCCUCUCCAAAGCAAAGUGUGUUAUCUCCACCCGAUUGUAUGAGUGACCCUGAGGAGCAUGAGAUCAGCGAAGAGGAGGAUGACGAUCGCAACCAUAAGCACCGUAGGAAAGAAGAGACGAGGUCUCAGUCCUUGGAACAAGAUUCUUCAGACCAGACAUUCUCACGGCCGUACAGGAAAAAUUAUAGACAUUUUGAAAAUGGCAAUACGUUUAGUGAACAUGAAAAGCGGUCUCAAGGGGCAGCGUCAGGACAACGUGUGCAGUUUGAUAAUCAAAGAACAAGAUCUAACCCAAUGUUUUCAAGGGACACUGGUCCUGGUAGAGGUAGAGGAAGUUAUGGCUCUUGGAACCAGCGUGAUUCCAGGUUUAAUCCUGUUGAUCUCUCAUCUCAUAUGGUUCCGGGCAUGUUUGGAGGAAGGGGACUAGCUGGUGUUUCAGCUGCUCAAAGUGCACGAUGGCCUGCUUUUGGAAUGCUUCCUGGAGUUCCAAAUGGUGGCUUGGAUGGUUUCCAUCACUUAACUGGAUCCCUAAGACCACCAUUAAAUGCUUCACUUAACAUGGGUAUUCCUCGGCAGCGAUGCAGAGACUUUGAGGAACGUGGUUUCUGCCUCAGAGGGGACAUGUGUCCGAUGGAGCAUGGAAUCAAUCGUAUUGUUGUCGACGAUGUUCAGGUAUGUUUUCAUGAAUUAUUUGUUUUGGAUCGGAUUUUAAUUGAAAGACACAAUAGAUCCUUGAGGCUUUGCUGGAAAUUUGAUAACUGUUUGCAUGAUCCUAUCUAUACUGAUUUUCUUGAUUAAGUUGCUAGUAUUGUGACCAUUUUAUGCCCUUCAGCAGUACUUCUGGGUGACAUAAAAUUAAACUCUUUAAUGUUUUCAGUGUUAGCUCUACGUGGCAUGGCUCUACUUUAUUCUGAAUUUUAGAUGCAUAUUAUCUUGAUUCUCAAAUAGCAAAUACUUUGUAUUGCAUGAUAAAUUUCGUAUGACUACUAUUUUGUUACACUGUUCUUCUCUUGUGUAUACUUAAGUGAUUAAAUUUCCUUCAUUUUCCAUUUGUGCAGAGUCUAUCACAGUUCAACCUUCCCGUUUCAGCCCCUGGUGCACCUCAUCUGGCAGCUUCUUCUAAACCAGUGCCUGCACAGUUUGGGUGUGCUAAUUUCAUGAAUACUAAAGGAGCUCAUGGGAAGAUUAACGAGGGUGGAAUGGCUGUUGAUGGCUUGGGUUAUGGUGAUGCAUAUCCUAGUGUAGGUGGAACUGAUUUUUACGAUCCUGAUCAACCUUUGUGGAAUAACAGUGCUGGUGAAACAUCUGGGGCAUUAUCUGCACUAAAUCCUCAUGGGAUUGAUGAGAAUGUAGCUCUGGAUGACAAUAACCAAGAUGGUCCUGAAAAUGCGUGUGGUAUUCGAGACUCCAAAAGCACAAGUCAAUCGGUUUGGGGCAGAAUGCGUGGUUCUAAUAGUCAAGCAAAUUUUAAAGAGAAAGCUAAUGCAGUAUUAAAUUCAUCAGCUGGUCUUGAUGAUCAAUUGAAGGAAGUCUCAGUAAAUUCAUCCCGCCACGGUAAACAAAACCAUGUUGGUGAAAGUGUCUCAAAUGAUGCGAUGAACAAUACAAGAAAACCAGCGCAAAAGGCAAUGCGGACUCUAUUUGUGAAUAAUGUUCCCCACGAGAGCAACAGAAGGGACCUCAUUCUUGCCCAUUUCCAGAAAUUUGGGAAAGUUAUUGACAUUCACAUCCCAAUAAAUAGUGAGCGAGCAUUUGUUCAGUUCUCGAAACGCGAAGAGGCUGAAUCUGCUCUCAGGGCACCUGAUGCUGUGAUGGGUAACCGCUUUAUCAAACUUUGGUGGGCAAAUAGAGAUAGUAUACCUGAUAAUGGGCUGUCCACUGGCAAUGGUGCUCCGAUGAAAGGUCGUGGUAUGACUGCUUCUGGAGGGCAGAACCAGCUUCCUAUUGCUUCAGCAUCAAAAAGCAACCAUGCAUCUUCCAUUGCAAAAGGCCCCGCCUUUCACACCGGUGGAGCUCCAUCAUCCUCUGAACAGCCUAAGUCUGUGGGGGUCACUAGUGGUCCCAAGGUUACUCCGCUUCAGCAGAAAAAAGCAGAAACUCUUGAGCAGUUGAAGGAGGAACUUCGAAAAAAGCAGGAAAUACUGGAGCAGAAGCGUAAUGAGUUUCGCAAAAAGUUGGCGACGUAUCAAAAACAAGUAAGAACAAGUUACUAAAUCCCUUCAACCCCGUCAAUACCUUUUUGAGGGAAAUUACAGUUUAAGCAGUCACUAGAAAAUUAAGCAGAAGUAGAAGUAUGAGAUUCAUAUCAUAUUGCUCUAAAUCUUAUUUACUCGGACAAUAUUCAUAUCAUUUUGCUCUAAAUCUUCUCAGGGUACGGUUGUCAAGUGUGAGGAAGCAGAUGAGCCAGAUGCUAAGCGCGUUAAAGUAGACACAGCCUCUAGUUCUGGUGCCGCAAUCUCAUCACCAAAAACAGAGUCAUCAACAGAUAAGAAAGUGCCUAUCCAGAAACCACUGUCUACUGCUAAACUAAGCACAGAAACGCAAUCACCCGAUUCAAAAAUCUUGAAGCAAAGACCUUAUUCAUUUACCACAAGUUUGAACACUCUUAUGGUAAAUAGGUAUAAGUUAGACAACCGCACCACUACCAUCAAAGUGGUUCCUCCUCUGCCAACCGGGUUAGCCGAUGUACGAUCCCUUUCUUUGCUCUACUUUAUGAAUGUGCAAAACUUUCCCAUUUUUCAAAUUAGAUACUAUUGAACUCUACCGGUAUUAUUAGGUCACUUACUGAUGGUUUGAACUACUUUCUACUUCUAGGUUGCUGUCUUAAAGGAACAUUUUUCUUCUUAUGGCGAAGUCUCAAAAGUGGAACUUGAAGGCAGUGCAUCAAUUGAUAGUGGCAAGAAUCAAGAUGAAACAUAUAACGAAAACUGUGGAGCUUGUGUCACAUUUGUGAAACGCAGCGCAGCCGAGAAAGCGUUUGCUAAUGCAAAGUGCUGGCAAGAACACAUGUUGCAGCUCGUGUGGGUAACACGUCAAAGCAACCAAAAGAAUAAUAGUAGCAAUACUAAUAAUAAUCUCUCAGCUUCUCGUGACCACCUUAGCAGCAAAAACAAGCCCACUUCUUCUGUUUCUAAUGACCCUAAACCAGCAGAUGAAGUCAAAGCCUCCUCCUCUACGGAAGAACCAGAGAACACAAACGUCUCUGGAGAAGAAAAUUCUGUGGAUGAACGAGAACGAGAGGCCAAUGAAAGCGACAAUGGCAACCAUAAAAGUAACAGCGAGUCCAUUGAAGGAGCUUCUAAAGAGAUUGCGGCGUCAGGUACCAAUGAAGAACAGUUGGAACAGAGAAAUGAUUAAGUUGGGAAAGAAGAUUCGUCAGUGAGGUCAACUUUUGUCGCAGAAACAUAUUUUUUUUUGUUUGAUCUGGUAUUAGUGUUGUUUUCUCCGUUUUAGGCUCUUUAGCCAAUUCGUGAGACGUUAAUAUUUGUUGGUAGCAAAGAGAUAUAUAUUUAUAUAUCUAAGUUUUUUUUUUCCUUUUUGUUGGAUAGAAUGUGACAAUAAGAAAAAAGAGAAACGAAAAAAGAAGUGUAUAUGUUACAUUUGGCCUUCCAAAGAACAGUGGUUGGGUACAAUUUCGAAUUCUGUUGUACAUACAUAGUUGAAUUUGGACACUUGCUUUAGCCGAGACGAAAAAUAGUGUGGAAUCUAUAAACGGCACGCAUUUUGAAAGUUUAUCCAAUGUUCGCAUUUUGAAAGUUUAUCCAAUGUUCGCAUUUUGAAAGUUUAUCCAAUGUUUAUCCUUAUUUUGUUUGCUAAGAUCGAUUCUUGGAACUUGGAAGUAUAUUAUUUCUUUUAAUUUUCAAAUUUAUUUAAGUCUAUUGUAGAAAAACGAGAUUGAAAGUCGAUGAUUCUCUUAGGAAAAAAAAAGAAGGAAAUUCGUGAAUCUCGAUAGUGACACAGCCGUUCACAAAUUUCUUGUUCAAAAUGACAAACGAGACAAGAGCCUCAAAGCUGAUGAGAAUUUCUUUGAUCAAGCAAUAACUUUGAACCAACAGACUCAAACAGUUUCAUGCAUUACAUGUUUAAAGAGAUAAGAUAUACAUAAAUUUUUCAAAUCAAAUUCUAUUUUCCAGGGACGAAGUUGGUGGCGUAAGACCAGGCAUUGUUAGCCACAGGGUCCGCAAGAUGAUCGAAGAGAUUCUCGAUCGGACCUUUACCAGUAACAAUGGCUUGAACAAAGAAUCCAAACAUAGAGAACAUUGCAAGACGACCGUUCUUGAGCUCCUUCACUUUCAAUUCCGAAAACGCCUCUGGAUCCUCCGCUAAGUUCAAUGGGUCAAACGCUCCACCGGGGUAAAGUGGGUCAAGCCCUUCACCAAGAGGCCCACCUCCGAUUCUGUACCCUUCAAUUAAGCCCAUCAACACAACUUGAGAAGCCCAUAUGGCUAAGAUGCUUUGCGCGUGGAUCAAGUUAGGGUUUCCGAGGUAAUCAAGUCCUCCUUCGGAGAAGAUCUGAGAUCCUGCCUUGAACCACACGGCUUCACCGAACUUGACUCCGUUUUUGGAGAGAAUCUCUGGGAAGGUGCAGCCUAAAGCGCCUAGCAUUGCCCAUCUACUGUGGAUCACUUCGAGCUCACGGUUCUUUGCAAACGUUUCUGGGUCGGCGGAUAGACCGGCGGUGUCCCAACCGUAGUCUCCGGGGUAUUCUCCGGUUAGGUACGACGGUGUGUUUUCUGAGAAUGGUCCUAAGUACUUGGGACGGUCUGGUCCGUACCUGUCACGUGUGGUUAAUGGUGAUUAGUUAGAUUAAAACUGAGGAAACAAAAAAAAACACGGAUUGAUCAUUUUGUCCGGAUAAACCGGUUUGAUGCGAUCCAGAAAACCGAACUGAGUUCAACACAUGAGCUUUAUUCAUUUUAAGAUAUUAAAAAAAAAGGAAAACCGGAGAGCGAGAUUGAGGAUGGAACCAAAUGCUCUGAGGAGUAGACUUGACGGUACGGCGCAUGACGACGCGGCCACCGCCGUUGGAAGCUCCAACUUUGCGGAGGAGAUCGUUGGAGGGCUUGAGGGCCGUUUGGCCGGCGAAUGAAGAGUGUUGGAUUGCUGACGUGGCCAUUCUUUGAAUCUGAGAUGAUGUGAUGUUGGUGUUAUGCAGAUGAAAUGGGUUUUCGUUUUUUUUUUAUAAUAGAGAUCCGAAAGAGUUUAUCUUGAAGGAGAUUUGCAGAUGGAUAUGUCUGCGAGUUCUGAUUGGUUGGUUUCAGAUUUUCCACAAACUCGGAUCAAGUGGGGCAGGAGAUGGGUAGAGGUUGUGAUUGUGCCACGUGGCUGUAGGAGAUCUUGUGCCAAGAGGAUAGUGUUCCAAGUCCAACACACUUAUGCGGCUUCGCUUAUUGGUUAUGCUUGCGAAUUGCGCGAUUGCGAUGAUAAGCUCAUAUCGUUACACAAUGAGAACAACACUAAACAACGCAUUGCCCAUAUUAAAUGUAUGCAGGUUGAGACCAGAAUAAAUAAUCUAUUUUUUUUACAACAAAUAAAAAAUCUAUUAUAAACCAAUAACUAACAAUAUCUCUUUUAUGAAUACAACAGUGAGGGACCUGAAGGCCAUGAAAAAAUUCCCUUCAUAAUCACCAAACUACUCCGAAAUUAUAGUCUCCUGGCUAGAUAUAAAAAUCAUACAAUAUUUGCAAAGGAAUCAAGGUAUGGCCAUAGCAGCAAGUCUAAGCUGUUUCUCAAGAGGCAAAUGGUCUCUGAAGGCUACACAAAUGUGAUGCAUCACCUUCACAAGCAUUGGCGCAUAAUCUCUUUCGCUUCGCUCGAUAUGCUGUGAGCUUCGCCUUGCAUUACCGUCUGAGUCAGUUGCAAAAUUGUAAACACGUUCCAAUGAUGUCCAUAGAAACGAGAUGAAAGGCUCUGCGACAACUUCCCAGUUGGGAUCAGACAGGAGAGAAGUUACGGUAACAGACAUAUCGCUCAAAACCGUGGAUCGGUCUAGAGUGAGAAACGGCAUGUAUUCGCAACAGAUGCUAGAGAGGAGACCAACAAAGAGAAUAGCCUGUCGAUGAAGCAAAACCAAUUUCAACGUUAAAAAUGAAGAAGAAGAGGAAGAUAAUCUCUUUCGAUGGAGGAUAUCUUAACACUGAUGUGUCUUACAUUGGAAGGAUAGCUAGAAACGCAGCUGAUUUCAACAGCAUCAAUGAGCCACUGUCUUUUGAUUCCUCCUUCGGCGUGAUGCAGAGCACCUAUUAUCUCAAUGUGCACAUCCCAGAUAUCUAACAAAGACGAAAAGUUUGAUUGUAUCAUGAUCUUUGAUUGUAUCUAGCAUGUAUAUAGCAAUUGAGGAUAUUAACUGACCUGACUGUUCACAAUUUAAUAUAAUUGCCUUCAAUUUUCCUAACUCGGAAAAUGGAAUUGAGCCAAGUCUUGCUAGCCUGGCUUUUGCCUGGAUUUUCUUUAGGUUACCUUGGAAGUCAAUCUUUUCGUUUCCAGGGUCAAGACUUGAAACCUGCAUGCGAGAAAAAUAUCAGUUAAGUGGCUAGAUGUCUACAAAGAUGAUAUAUACCUUACAAACCCAUGCAUAAGGCAGCUAUUACAUAUACCUGUAGAAAUUUGUAUAACCAAUCCCGACCCGACUUCUGCAAACAUCUAACUGCCUCAUACCAUUCUUUCACCGGACCCAUCUGAUCUGCUUUCGGAGAUUGUGAUGCUACUGGUAAGACCGCAAAAAGCAAUUCUAUGCAUUUUUCAAUCUUUGUGAUGUAUUCUGAAGAUUCAAGCGAAGUUCCUUCGAGACACUGACUCAGACCUUUCCAACAAGAGACCCUCAAUGAGCUUUUCUGAUCACAGCUAUAUUCUUCGUCUGAAGAUAGCGAGAUUACGAAGCAACAGAUAUCGUCAAACAGUUUAUCCAUUCUUGAACCUGAGAAUAUUCUCAUUAAAUCCCCUAGAUGACAGAGCAGCCAUGACUGGAGACUCUGCUCUAGUGCCUUGAAUCUGGAUAGUUCAGACAACUCGUCCAGAAAAGCUAGAAGUUUAUCACAUUGACUUGCGUGGGCUAGUGAAAAUUUUAAGCACUCUUCCCUAAGAGUUAUUUCCUUGGGAAGAUCUCCUGAUUGCGAUGCAUCAGUCUGAGUCUCUUGUUUCAUUAACCGCCUUAUUGUUGCUCCCCAGUCCAAGUUUGGCAACCUCGGAGCAUGAGACAAACACCGCAAAGCACUUGCCACUGUGCCAGUAUUCAGAGAGCUACCCGCCUAAAUAUCAACAAAGAUUAAUACGUAUGGAACAGACUGAUAUCUCUAUCCUGAACUAAAUCAUAUUUUUAUUUGACUGUUGCAGAAAUUUAAUGGAACCUAAGAUUUUACAAUUUCAAGUUUCCUUUUAUGUUCCAACCAUCAAGAAUUAGAGAAGGUUUAAACUAUCAGAAAGUUUUAAGCAGACAUACCGAAGGCAAACUUGGAUUUGUCUGGCCUCGAGCAAGUUUCAUGACCAUGGCAUGCUCAGGAACAUUGUGGGAGAUGGAAUUACGGUGAGAGUCAUCAGACUGGAUUUCAUUACUGAGACUUGAUGCUUCCCCGGACCGCAUGUAAUUUCUAAGAAUUGAGAUUGCCCAUGCAGCAUAAUGUUGCAGCUGGCGAUCCUUGGUAUUUUGUGCGAUAAGGAAUAUUUCUUGCACAGUUGGUGUCAACUGCUGAGUAAAAUAUGAGUUUGAAAGCAAAGGACCUGACACGUAAGAGAUUUCCUGUAGCAAAAUAAAUGGACGUUAGGAAUCCUUUCACAUUAACCGGCGAAUAAAAGAGAAGACUUUCGAGAAAGAUGGACCAGAGAAUUUACGUUUUCCUCAGAACUGGAAGGAGGAGCACGGGGUAGAGGAUGGGAAUACACCAAAUUCCCAGCACUUGCUCCUAAAACAUUAACAACUCCGAGCAUGCCACCAAAGUGAAUAACUGGUGGGUGAAGUCCAGAGUAACAUGUCUUGAACAGCUCUAGUAACCCUUUUACAGACUCAAUCUCAACAGGGUGGAUACCUUCAUUCAGGACAGAACCAAGGAGGUCUCCCGCCCCGAUACAGGACGCCAUCAACAAACUCUUAUGAAAAGCACCGGACUUUUUAACAAUUAACAACUCAGAAAUAAGGUCCUUGAAACAAUUGAUUAAAUGAUCUACCUCAUGUGUAUCAAACAGUUCCACUUUUUGGCAGAAAGUGAUCACUAUUGGAAUUGCAAGACAGGAACCGGCUGAAAAAACUCUCACUGAUACACUACUAUUAGAACCUGGAGUUUGCUUAAGAGAAUCAGCAUAUGGGAUCCAUGAUACGAUCAGGUUUUUAAUCUUCACAACAGCAUCUUUCUUCCCAGCUCUGUAUAUUGCACCAACUGACAUACCCAAACCUAUGAUGAGUCCAGCAAUACCCCAUGUAUCAUCAUCAAAAUCAUUAGAAUUCUCAUCCAACAACUGAGGUAAAUAUGUAACGUUGUCUUCCUUUCCAGGUGGGAACAGCGCAGAUAAGCUUUCUAGGAUAUUACACGGAGUGUGUAGGAAACGAUGCAAAAUUGAAGAAAGCAACCUCACGAUCCUUCCUAAUAGCUGUUCCUCUUGAUUCCUGUAGGACUUACUGUCUAUACCAGAACUCGCAGAGACUUCAGUCCGAGUGAGCAGAUCUUGGCAUGAAAAACCCAAUCCAACCCCACAGGCUCCUUUUACAAGAGUGCUUUUACUGCUGCACAAAACCUGCAGGAUAAAUAUUAUUUUUUAGCUGCAAGCUUACUUCAAAGUGAAAAGAGCUCAUGUAACGAGUGAGAAAGAUUAAGACUGAUUUUGCAUGCAUAUUCUUCAAAAUUACUACUCAGUAUGAGUUUUCAUGAAACAGUUGAACAAUAAUUUCCACAAGUUACAUUGACCAAUAUGGUCCGUGGCGUAAUUAACUCAUAAGUAUAGACAGUACCUCAAGAAGCCCAGAUAUAUUCUGAAAUUUCUGCUUGUGGUCAGUCACGUGUAAAGAUGACGAAAUCAAUCCAAGAGAAAUACCAGCGGUCCACUGACGGUGUUCAUGCUCAUGCUCCAACAACCAACCCAACAGAAAUUUUGACGCAGUCGCUUUAAUAUUAUGAGCAGCAGCUGGCAAAGCCUGAAAAAAAAAAAAAAAAAAAAAAAAAAAACAGAUUAAACCGUAUAUUGAGACACUUGUGCACUACAGAUAUGGAAGCACAUUUAUAUAAAAUCUUACUUCACAUAGUGCCCCCAGCGCCAGUGCUAUAUUUUCUGCAGACCUGGGAAGAGUUUCUUCAGCCAUGUAUACUAAACUCUACAUGAAUAACACAGCAGAAUCUCAAUAAAGGUUUGAUCACUUCAAAAAAUUAUUUUGACUAAGCUGCUACAGAAACACAUUAUCUCGAACCUUCAAGAUGUUGUUUGCAGCUUUAGAAGUUUUAUCAGAUGAUAAUUCUGUAGCCGUUGCAUCAAUGGACAGUAUAUUAGCUUUCAUCCAACGCCGCAUAAAAACUUUCAGUGAUUGCAAUGAAAUCAGUGCAAGGGAAAUAUUUCUUGAGAUCUGGAGAGAUUUGAUUACUACUCUAAAUGCCUCCUCGUAUUGACCAUGGACAUCACGAAAGCUCUGCGACUAAAAGUAUGCAACUAAGUACGCUGAAGCAUAGAAAAUCUCCUAGCAGAAAGUUGAAUAUUCUUACUCUUGAUGACCCAAACUUCACAUCUCUGGGACUAAAAGAUAGACAUAAUAAUGCCGCACCUGGUAGUUCUCCGGUCUUCAUUCCUUUCCCUGUGAGUCAAAUGGAUGGUGCUAUGGUUAGUUCAUGCGAAGUAGUAAGAAAUUUACAUAACUGAUUAUCAUAAAUAUUUAGCGAAAAAUUCUAUCCAUUAUGAAAACAUGAAAAGAAUUAAGCACUCGAUAAGGUCUAUCCAUUAUGAAAACAUGAAAAGAAUUGAGUAUUCGAUAAUCUUAACACUGCAUAUGAUGGUUCACUACAAACGCGCUUCCCAUUUGUUUAACUGAAGAUGGAACUAUAAAUUUCAGCAUUAUCUUAUUAGAAUGUCAAGUUACAAAGCACAACAAGAACUGAUAAUUAUAAACAGGUGAAGUUAGUUAUUAGGCAAAAAAAAUGCAGACCUGCAGGGAAGAUGACCUCAGGUAUCACAUCCAGCAGCUUCUCAAUCUUACUACCUGGAACUCUCUUCUCUCUUACAUAUCUACGCCGGACGCUGAAAGGUCAGAAAAGAAGCAGUUUCAGUACGCUCCUCAUGAGGACCUAAGCCAGAAAAGUUCAGUAGACUACAAGCUCUAUACCUAUGCUCGUAAAUCAUGAUCUUGAUUGAAAGAGCUUCUAAAGCAUUCAGAAUUUUCGCAUUGGUCUCCGAGAAGAGCAAAUGUGUACAAUUCUUGUUCAGGUCAGAAAUUUGUUUGUCCAUAAGUGAUACCUGGAAAAAUAAUGGAUCAGAAUUACAUUAAAAAUGUCAAUAUUAGUAGUUAAGGACCAAAGGAAACCAAAGAUGGCCUGAAACACACGUAAAAAAAAUACAUACAAGAUACAUAAAUUCAGCACGUACCUCAUACUGACCAAGGGCCAUCAAGGCAGAGACUCUUGCCUUUGUCCAUCGGGAAUCAUGAGGCAUCUGCAUAGAGCUCCCAAUUUCCCACAAAAUGUUCAGAACCUUUUCUGCAUCCUCAGGAUAUGCUUCAGCAUCCAUUGCACCCCACUUAAGAAGAAGGCAGACACUACAACAUAUUCAUCAAAAUAAUGCUAGACGUCAAAUAUUUGUUUAGGCACCUCAAAUUACAAUGGCUAAAAGAUCCAUGCACCACUUUGAACACCUUAAUCGUGCCUGUAAAUAUGAUUCGGGAUAUGAACUCCGCUAACCUAUGAGCAAGGAGAGGAUCAUGUUUGAUGUUUUGAGCAUGCUUCUUAAUGACACCCCAUGCCGUAUAGAAAUCUAGAUGGACAAAGCAGAAGUUACAAGAUAAAAUAUGACGUGAAAUACAAACGAAUUGACUAACAGAAACAAGCAUCAAGAGAGUACCAAUGACAUCGGCUUCACAAAGAUGGGAAAGGCUCUGAAAACCAAGAGCUCGAACUGAGGAGUCUUGGCUUUCUAUACAGGCCUAUCAGAGUGUGAGUCCAGUGGAAAAUUUAAUGGCACUCCAAAAGUUUCAAUAUAUAGCCAAAGCAGUAACAGCAAACUCGUUUGAGAAACUAUACCUGAACGGACAGGAUUAGGUCUACUCCCCUAUCAGGGUGGCUCUUGCAUACAUCAUGAAUGGAAGCAGCCAUACUAAUGCAGAUAUGUCUCUCCGAAAUAAAGUCUACAAAUCCUUUCGGACGUAACACCUCCUGAGUACUUAAAAUAAUUAGAAACAAAUAAAAAUAGUACAACUUGACUUCAUCAAUGUUGAGCAAAAAUUCAUCUAGUGGUAGAGAAUAGCUUACUUGCAGACUCGGAAAGGCACGGUCAUUGACUACCCAGGUCUGGCAAAGUAAUCUUAUGGCUGUAGCAUACAACAAACUAAAAUGAACCAUCAUCAGAGCUACACAUAUCAACUUCUUUUCAAUGGCAGUACAGAUAUUAAAAAAGGUAUAGCGCAGAAACCCGAUUCAACAAGAUUGAUAAAUGUAGGCUAAAGCAUGAAACAUCAUAUACUACUCUUUGGCUUCUAAAUCUACCUGUUAUAUUAUAUCAUAAGCCCAUAAUCUGAAAAGUUAAAGCUGUUUCCAAAGACUACCCGUUUACUAAAGAGCAAAGGUGAAUAUCGAGUAUUGCAAUGACCAAGUAAAGGUUUCAACCCUAUUAUGAAUACGGUUAAAAAGAAACAUGAUACACAAGAAAUUAUCAGAAAAUGGUGUACUGACCCUUUCGCAUCCUUGUGUAGCAUUGGUGUAAUAGUCUGAACUACAAGUGGAAUCAUCACCUGUUGUGCAGCUAGUGAUGGGAGCAAUCCCAGAAGUUUUGUCUGCAAGUCAAAGAAAUUAAAUGGGAACUAGACUAAAGGAAAAAUAAAUAAAAGAAACAAACACUUAAAUUUGAAGAUAAAGGAGUUAACAAAAAAUGAAUGAGAGUAGUCUCACCAAUAGACUCUGACAAGGAACGUCAGUUCGAGAUAACAAGUUGCUGUAAUAUAGAACAACUAGCAAUAGCGGGACACUCAUCUUCGGGUCAAUGCCACCAAUAGCACUCAAAGAAUCAAUAGCCUCAGGUCCUAGGGAUGGAUGCAUCACCAAGACACCAGCAACAGCACCAAGUAAAAUAGGUAUCACUUGCGAAAGACUAAACGAUCCAGAUAACUUUUUCCUAUCACAAAACCUUUCAGCAUGUUCCAUAAGUAGUGAAUUCCAAGUCGCUGAUCCAGGAUAACUUUCCUGUGUUUCACUUCCAUUGAUGUAAGCCACUCUGAGGAAGGAAGACGUGGAAGGUGCAUAGUCAUUCUGGAAAAAAAAAGAACAUUCAAAGACUCAGUGAGCAAUUUGAUUCUUAGUUUCUUUUGAGAAAUAUAUUGAUAUGGGCAUAAAUCAAAUAAAUAUGCGUAACUCUCGAAGGAGUAGCCAUUUAAAAUAACCUAACCCAUGAGUGGAUCUAUGCAACGUAUUAUAGAAAAUAGCAGGUUCCUCCACAGAAAUUAAACCUGAUGCCAGAGUUGCUGCAUCAUCCUAAAUACGACAGAGCCCACCCGGCUGAGUGGUGAAUAUUCCUUACUUGUGUGGACCUCAAUCUUUGGUGCAUUUGACAUUGUUACCAAGACAUUUUCUACGAUGGAAAGAACCUUACUUGCUGCACCUUUGACUGAUUUAGAAGGAGAAGACAUCAGUGCGAUGAUAGGGAAAAAUAAUAGAGGCUCCACACUUGAACAGGCUGCAUCUACCGACAAAUUUUCUACAAAAGAAUUGAAAAGAAUCAAUUCUCAGUCAACAGAAAAUGCACACAUCACUUUUUGUUUGCCAAAAUAUAAAGAAACAGGGAGUCAUGCUAUAGCAAGACACACCAAGUUGACUAGUAUAAAUUAGCUACUACACUAAUAGACAAUAAAUCGAGCAAGAGUGUAAUGACAAGAAGACGGAGACUCGGAUAUACCAUUUUCACUUUUCCAUUUGAGCAAAAAAUGCAGGAACUUUAAAAUGGAGAGUUGCUCAUGCUCAACACUGGACUUGGCAAGCAUGAAAACUAGCGAGAGAACCACCAAGGAUAAAUCACUUGAAUAUGUUAAUCCAAGGUCUUUCUGAACAGCUAAUAAGUGCCUCAAUGAUUCGAUCACAGGCUCUUGUUCGGUGUUUUGGACAUGAGGAGAGGCACAAAGCAAAAGUACGGUAUCUACCAGUUGCACACCAAGCAGAUGAACUUCCAUUACUUCCUGUUAAUAUAGAUAAAUGAAUGAGUGUCGGAGAAUGAGCACAAAGAUAAAGAUGAAGGCAUGAUGAGGCAAUAAGCACAUACCAAUCUAGUUCCAACCAAGUCUCUCGCAACCACAGUGUAGGCAUCCACUAGAGUCUUGACAAUGCAGCUGAAAUUUCUAUUGUCCUGAAUAGUUUCAUAAAUUUAGAACAGCGUCCUAGAAUUGCAUCUGAUUACGUGCAUUCAACAAACUGACUGACAGUGAAAGCUAUCGAAAUACUCAGGCAAACAUGUAAACUUACUUCCAGAUUUUUGCCCGGGAUAUAAUUCAGGCAGCGGAUAAGCAAUCUGAAUACUGGCAAUGCUUCGUGGCGGCAUGAGCAACAAAGAGAAGCCAUUGAUGAAACUAAUUCCCUCGCAAACAAAGAUGACGAUGAAUCUGUAAGUGGGAUACGCAGUAUUGUGAAAUUCAGGAACGGCUCCAAACAUUCACAUACUCCCACCAUUCCCAAUCGCCGAUUAUGCAUCACAAAGAGUGAUACUUGGUGAAGAAGCUCCGUCUGUGCCUCCGCUCGACUAGAAAGAAUCUACAACCAACAACAAGGAGAAGCAUCAAGGACUUACUAAUUUCGGCUUAAUUUUCACGGAACAUGGACGCAUCCAUGGAUCACAUACCCUGACAAACGGAUGAUUCUCCGUCGAAUUGAACUUCCAAUUCCCAUCUUUCUGUUCGUAACCAAUUCGAAUCAAAAACCCUAAACCCUUCACAAAGAGGGGAACUAAUUUCGAGUCGCAUCCUUCGAGUGCUGAUUGGAGUUCCAGCAAACCGCGGGAGAGGUCCAGAACGGAGUCUGAUACUAAUCGACAUAGCUCACGAACGGAUUGAUCAACGACAGUGGGAGAUGCGGAGGUGAGGCAGAAGGAGAUAGCUUCUCUUCCGGCUUCGGAUUCCGAACCCAAUCGUUCUGGAGCAGAUCGUAACUUGGAGAAAACGGAAAUCACAGCGAAUCUCUGUAUGGAAGGUUGAGGGACGCGAGUUUUCUCCAGUAACGUAGUAUACGAGGCCAUCACUUUGACCAGAAGAGAGAAAAGAAGCAACGGUCACUUCGGAGGCGUGAACGGAGGGCUGAGGAAUUUUUCAGCUCCGGGAAGGGAAAGUCCGACCAGCCGGCACUCGAUAACGGGCCGUCCCGAUUUGGCCCAAUAAGCCAAAAUCAAAAACUAAGGGAAAUUGCGUAAAUGAACCCUGACUUUUACCAAAAACAAUAACUAAACCCCCUAACAUUUUUUGAGGGAUAUAAAAACACCCACCUUUAAGGUAAUGUACGUAUCUAUCGAUUUCCGACAAAAGUAUAUAAUAUGUACCAUCAAGAUAACAAAGGUUUUAUGCAAUAGGUGGGUAUGUCAUUUCCCAAGUUUUGAAAAAUGUCAAAUUGUUUGAGUCGUUUAAUAUCAUCAGUGAUAGACGAUACCGGUUUCGAAUGCUUAAAGAUAUUCAAAUACAUAACAUAACAAGCAAUGUAUGAAAGAUCAGCAUGAUAGACAGGCCGUACAACAAAAGAUGUAACCCAAAAGUUAUAAAAUUACUCAUUAAACAAAGAAAUAAAGUACAAGCUCACACUUCAAUAUAAGGAUUGAUCAUGGUAGAGACAAGUAUAUAUUAUCGUCAAUGUAAGGACUGAUUUUUCUUGCAUAUGUCGUUGAUGCGUGGUGAAUAAUAUCUCAUUUAUCUCUCAUAUGAUUCAACUCCUAACACAUACUAAAAAACUUGACAAUGGCUUAAAGAUCCAUGUUUACGGUUACCUUCGAUGACUUAGAAUUUGUCUCAUCCUUUAAACCAGUCAUAAAAUCUUAGUUAGAGGAUGGUAUGGAUUUCUGUUAGAAGUUGAGUUCUCUCUAUCUAAGAACUUUCAUUUUGUGUUUAUUUUUAUAGACAUUUUUAACGGUAUAAAAUCCACUUUUUAAAAAAUAAACUCCAAAAAUUCAUCUGGAUCUGGUAUGAAAUAUCUCGCUAUCUCAGAAAAGAGGAAAGAAAAACAGGUUUAUUAGGUUCCAAAAAAAAAAAAAACAGGUUUAUUUUGUUUUUUAUUUCACUCACAAGGUAUUUUUAUUCGGACACGACAGAACGUCAAAACGAACGUACAACAUAUUGACAAAAUAUUCUAGAAGGAAGAAACUGGGACAUAAAAGUAGAAUUACACAAUUGCCGUUCCAACAGAAGCCCACAAUUUUAUGAUCCAAACGACCUCCUUCCCUUACCCUGCUCGGUGGUCUCAGUGGUCAGACUAGUCUCACGGGCUUCAUGGGCCUUAUCUUGCACAUACUGGCCCAUCUCUUUACCUUUCUGACCAGCAUAGCCUACCGCAUCAGCCAUACGCCGUUUGGCAUAGUCCAAUUGCUCCGGGACUGUAUCACUCGUCCCACGGAGGUAGUUUAGGACCCAUGAGACCGAGCUUAGACCCGUCAGCCCAAACAUCCCAGAGGCCAAGAUUCCGGUCACAGCAAGACCGAUGGUGAGAGCUGCCGGGACAAUCACCGGACUGAAGAGGAGGAAGAGCGGGAUUGAGAGCAUCAAACCUAUCACCGAGCCAGCUAGAGUGAGUCCAGCUAGGGCUAGUAGUGAGCCACCGAUGGGAACUCCUGCUAUAAGUGCCACGAUCUGCAUGUAUCAAUUAUUAUCUUUAGUUACUUUAAAUUUUGUUAUGAGUAAUGUCAAAAUUGUUAAAUCCAAGGAUGACCAUCUGGAUAUGAUCCUAUAUACAUGCUUGCAUAUAACCAUCUAUAUGCAUGCAUAACCACCUUUUGUAUAUUUUUGCAUAUAUUGAUUUCAAUAGUUCGGAGCGCUUAUGAUUUUCAACACAUAUUAGUGGAUAAUUUAGUUCUUUUUUAAAAAAAAUUCAGAAACUUCUUUAAAUAGUUCUUGGUAAGAAACAAAAAAAUAUGUAAUAAAAGAGAAGAAACAAAAAAGAUACUUGGUUAGUGGAGGGGCCCCGACUCUUGUAAUCAGAACCAGCACCAUAACCAUAACCAUAGCCAUAACCAACAUCAUCUUCAUAGCUCGGCUGUAGAGGGCUACGUUUGUCAGUUCGGUCGACAUGCACACGCCUGUCCACGUUCGCCAUAUCGACUGAUAUAAUGAUUUAAACUAAAAGAGCCAAGUCUAAGAGAACACAAAAUGGGAUAUAAAGAGAUAGAACAUAUACGUAUAUAUAAAUGGGAUUGAAAUAUUUUUUUUCUUUGUAUAAGGGAAUUUGGAGUGAAGAAAAGAGGACACGUAAGGAUGUGUUGAAGGAAGAGGUGUGGCUUUGCAUGAUUUCCAAGUUUCAUUCUUUACCUGAUCAUCUUUUCCUCCUUCUCCUCCCACCGUAUUCAAAUAAAAACAAACAUUUAUUCGGUUUAAUUACCAUUGCUCUCCUUUCGAUGCAUCCAUAUUUCACUUGUGCGUUGUGAAGUUGUGUAACAAAGACAUCUUUCCUAUUAAAUAUUUUGCUGUUAAGUUAUUUUCAAUUUUGUGAAGAAGCAAAAGUUCUUCCAAUAUCGAUCAUUCGAUCCAGUUAAUUCGACCCGCUAAGAGAAUAUUUUAAUUUUAUCGAACCUAAGUUUAGGAACAUAAAUAUUAAAUGAUAGCCAAAGGUUGCUGGUAAUCAGUAACACUGUUUGUUUGUUAGCUACACAUUAAGUGACUAGCUAGAAAGCUUUGGGUGAAUUAUAAUGAGAAGAAAAACAUUUUACAUUUCACAUUGUUUCUCUCUUUUCUAGGUGUGGAUCUUGAUAUACAUUCUCUUUGUUCAUCAAAAAAAGAAGUUGCCCUUGUGACUUUAAAUUAUAGUUGCAAUAUUAAUUUAUGUCCACUCUUUUAAUGGCUUUUUACAUGUUUAUGUACCAUUUAUUUAUCUAUCUAAAAUUGAAAUUUGGUGGUAUGUACAAGAUGUGCCACUAAAUUAAUCAAUGUAAAUCGGAAUAAGCUCUCGUUUAACAAUAACUGUAAAUGAAAUCCAGACUAAAUCCAUAAACGUCUAAAAAAUUGGAUAUUUAAGACGUAUACGCUGAUUAACGGCUUUGAGUGAAAUUUCAUUUUUAAGCUACUUAAUAGACCAUUUUCUUCUCAAAAAGAAAAUAACCAACACGGAGAAAACUAAUACGAAAAAAGAAAAGGUAAAAAGAGUUAGAAAUUAUAUCAAAUUAUAUACAUAUAUUGUCUAUAUUGGUAUAACAAUUGAUUGAUCGCUUUUAUAACACGAGCACAUUGUGGUGGCCCAGUGGCUUUAGUUAGUAGAAUCCUUUUGUCUUACAGAGGUCUAAUCAAGAAGAAGAAAAAGAUAUAAUCGAAUCAAGCAAUUUCAACAGUAAAAACGACGCCGUCCGUGGAACAAGGCUUUUUCAUUCGGUUCUGUUAUUGGACAUUUCUAAGCUAUUGGGCGGUUCAGUGGUGGUCCACUGCUACUUGAUAAUGAGAUGACAAACUUCUCUCUCACUUUCUCUUGGUCCACAAAUUGGGCCCAUCUAUGGCCCAUUUACGUUUUCUUUUGGUGUGCUCUUCGCCUUUUCAGCGAUGAGAUUGAUUUCAAACUUGGAUUUAACCUGUUUAAAGUUAGGUCUAUGGCUAAAAUCGCAAGUACUAAAACAGUAGGUUUUCUUUGGAUGGGGACAUUAGUACAAUAGUUUCGCUGGAGUUUUAUAUGGUCACUAAGUCCAUUUUUUUGCAUAUAGAAAAGUUUAAUUGCGAGAAAAAAGGUUUUAACCCGUGACAAAAUAUAAAUAUCGACUAGUUUUUUUUUUUUUGGUUUUCUUUCAAAUUUCAUAAGAUGUGGAAAUUUCAUUGAAAAAUUGUUAUCAUUUUGUAAUGAUCUCAAUAAAGAAAAGGGAUGGGAGAACUGAAGGAGAAUGAAGGAGACGGAGGGAAUAAUUGAGGAAAAGUCUAAAGAUGUGUACAAUAUGAGAUGAUCUAUCACAUGGCAAAACAAUCAUAUUUCUGCAAUAGACUGUGAUAGUGUAGUAAAUAAAAUGUUACAAUUAAAAAAAGACGAAGACUAAAAUGAAAUGAUAGCAGAAUUUGUACCUUUAGUUACUGUUUCUGAAACUGACUCAUGUCUGAACACAAUCUUGAAUCCCCGUGUCUUGAAGUCGACACGCAUGGAUCAGAAAAUAUACGUAUGUUUUCUUUUUUGUCAGCAAAUAUACGUAUAUAUGUAGCUUAUGUACAUCUAAUAUAUAUCUAUCUGUACACAAUACAUUCAUAACUCAUAGACACACUUUUUCAUAGUGUAUAUUCUUUAUAUAUAUAUAGAUAUAUAUAUAAACAUGUGAAUAGUCAAUGCUUAAAAAAAAAACAUGUGAAUCUAUACACAACCGACGAGAUCCAUGUUAAAUAGCUCAACUGAUUCCUUCUAAAGUUGUUGUGAUAUGUUCCAAGCACAAAUGAUCUAAAGAGUAUUGAAGCACAAAUAAACAUGACACGUCUCACUGGCUUCGCUUUACGCAAUUGAAAAGGUUGAACUGUUAAUGUAAACCUAUCGAUAAAACUCUAAAAGAAAAAGAAAAAAAAAAACUAAAGAGGUAAUAAAGACAGUUUAUUGCCUUCGAUAUUUUAAAAAAAUGUAAUUCUAGUUUAGUUUUUACGUUUCAUAGAAAAUAUUAAUUAAAAAUGAAACUAAUUUUAGCAAAAAAAAAAAUAAUGAAACCGGAUCAUUAAAUAAUUUUUUUCUUCAUCAUGUGGAAUCUCGAUGGAUACUUAAUGGGUCUGUAAUAAACAUUUUCACCGGAUAUUCAAAACUAUAUACUUAGAUUACAUAUAUAUAUAUAUUUCUCAGUUUUUUUUAAUGAUACCAAUCUUAAUUAAUGAUCUAAAAAGGUGAAUUUGGAGUUGGUUUUGGGUGAGUUGAUUUGUAUGUGAAUAUGUUUUGGUUGUUAGGUCGUCGCCAAAUGACAUGAAAUAAAAAUGGACCGGCUUUAAAAAGAGAUUCCCUACGAAGACGUGUGCCUAAAUAAAGGUACUAAAACUUGAUGUUUUCAAUUUUCAGCAAUUGAUUAUUUAUUCAAACUUUUUCUUAAGUCGACAAAAUAUAUAAAAUCACUCGAUCAACUUAGAAUAUUAGCGAAAUGAUGUUACUGACCAGUGACUAGUGUGUGAUAUCAAACGACCAAUUAUCAGACUACUUUCCUAUGAGUCUAUCUAAAACUGUCGACAUGCAAUUUUCUAUGCUUUUAAUACCAUUAUUUAAUAUUGGUGUUGCUUCAAUUUAGUAUCACAAUUGAACGAAACUUUAAAAUGCUAAAAAAGGUUGGUCAUGAAUCGAUGAAAUAUGUGUCUAAAGGGGACUGUCCGAAUCAGUACACAUCCCUUUUUUCUAUCCUGCUAAUAAUGAGAUGAUUUUGGUUGAAAUACUUUUGGUCGAAGUUAGCUUAGCACAUUUUUAGCAACUAUUUUGAGGUUAAACUAUAAAAAUCAUAGUUUUUUAUGAUUUAUU
rnacentral:lncRNA from 1 species